CUGAAAGAUGAAAGUUUGUGUAAGUAUUGGUAAUACAUGCAAGUUACAGUCUUUGGCCUUUGAUUAUGGAGCAAUCAGAUCAGCUUAAACUCUACAGGACAAAGUAAACGCUCAAUUUUUUCUGCUUCUUUGGCUAUGUAAGUAUGCUAACAUCUGUUAAAUAGUACAACAUACAUGCAGCGACCUUCAGCAGUAAUGGCACAGGACAAGUUAGGGAACUGAAGGUCACUGAAGCCUGUUUUGUACCAGGAGGCUUUGUUGGUGGUCUACCUGCCAUAGAUUUUAGCAUUCCACAUACACAUGUGGAAAACCAGGGAGCUCUUAGGACCCAGAGUUUCUUUGCUGCUGCUCUACCUGCCUUAGCUUUUCAUAAACUGUAUGUACAUAAACAGAAGAAAAUAGUGCUCUCCCUGCCUCAGGCUUUGGCAUUUUAUAUACACACAUAAGGUUAGGGAGAUGUUAGUAUCUGAGGGCCCAGAGCUUCUUUGCUGCUGCUCUACCUGCCUUGGCUUUUCAUAUACUGUAUAGACAUAAACAGUAGGAAAUAGUGCUCACCCUGCCUCAGGCUUUGGCAUUUUAUAUUCACAGGAAAGGUUACGGAGCUGUUAGUACCUGAGGGCGUCUUUGCUGAUGCUCUUCCUUCCUAGGCUUUUUAUAUAUGCACUUGGAAAGGGAGGAGAGGUGAACCCUUUCUGCUUCAGGCUUUGUCAUUUCUCCUACAUAUGUGGAAGAGUGGAAAACCCUUGGCGACUGUAACGUUUUGCUGAUGCUCUUCCUUCCUAGGCUUUUUGUAUUCACAUGUGAAAAAGUUAACCUCUGACUAUUGAAUUUCACAUUCACACCUAGAAGGGCAGGGAGCUCCUAGUAUCUGGCAUGUUUUUGCUGAUGCUUUACCUGCCUCAGGCUUUGCUAUUCCACUUUACACAGAUAGAAGGGCAUGUAUCUCCCAGAACAGACCCUCACAACCAAAUAUGACCCUCCACAUGGAAACGAUUAACUUUGAUUAAAAUAUUUCUGACUUGAAUUUUGCUGUUUUUACCUUAAAGAUAAUAAAUGUUUCAUUUAACUGAAACUUCUGGUAAUCUUUCUAUUACAUGCCAAGAUGUGUAGCUUUGGUGCAUUUUUUCCUUUCUUGACAAGAAAACAGCGGAAAAAUACAGUACAUGAAUCAGAGAGCAGGGAAAACAUGCAGCAGAUUGUGGUGGCCUUGAGUCGAUCUGGGGACUGCUGUGACGAGGACUGAAAGCUGCUGUGUGUAUGUGGGGUGCACUCCAAUGACAAAUCCAACCUGGCACGCAAAUUAAAUUAGAUUUAAACCUUCAAAAGUAGCUCACAAAUGUUUAAUUUCAUAUUUUAAGAAGGGUUUGCUGAUGUCUUUGCCUGCAACAUGAAGUAGUUGUUGCUUUCAGAGAAGAAGGACAUCAACAGCUAUCAGGAUUAUUUGGGGCGGCAGGAUGGUGUGAAUGGAUUGAAUCCAAAUAAAGCACAGUGAGUGUUGUUUUUAAUAGCUUUUUGACCACUAUAAAGCCUUAUGGCACAGAAAUUAGUCUUUGAUGGCCACACUCAACUUUACAGAAGGAAUAAAAUAGAAACACUCAAAAAUAUGCCCUCAUUUUAAAAGACAUCUCUUUUGUUUUUCUCUCUCCUCUGUUGUUUCUGCCUGUGAUACUCGAUCCUCGUCGUGAUUCUUCUUCUUCUCCCAUGUCACCGUCACUCCUCUCCCUCCACUGAUGAUAAAUUCAGGUCGCACUUUGCAGCUUUGUGAGAAUCUGUGAAUUCAUCCUGUUAAUGUGACAUGUUUAAACAUACUUCUGACAGGUUUGUGUGAAUUAAGUGCAAAUUAGAAGAGACAGCUGAGAUAAAUGUGCCAUCAAUGACGGUGACGGAUUAAUCACCUGCAGACGAUAAAACACAUGAAUCACUGCAAGAUUAUUUUAAUCACACUCCCUCCAAUGUAUGUUUCUAUGUGUGUGUGUGUGUGUGUGUGUGUGAAGGUGUUAAUGCUGCAGUAAUGUGACCGUGCUGUGCAUUGGUGUACAUGAUUGAUUAUCGAUUGAUCAAUGACUGCGUGUGGGUGAAAGGCAAGCUGACCUUCAUGUUGACCUUUAUACAUGACGCAUGAUGGGAUCCAUGUCAGAACUGAUGGUGUUACGAGUUAAUCCGGUUUAACUCCUUGUUGGACUCCUGCUGUGAAUUACAUGCAGCUUUAUCUCAUUAUGAUACUAUAAAAAAUCCUCAGUCUAAGCAGAAAGUUUAAUCCGUUUAAACCCUGUGAAGAUAAGUCCUGUAAAACCACCAUUAGGGUGAAAAAUUAGCUAUACUUCAGAGUGAGUCACUGCAGUGGAUUGUUUGAACUUGUGCCUGUAUUCCUGAGCUCUCUUUCAUAAAUCCAAGCUCAAAUGUGAAGCUUGUAGGAGUUUUGAAAGAGAUUGGACAAGGACAGUUUAACCUUUGUGUGUCAUCAACUCUGUAAACAGGAGGCCAGUUUCUAGAGUUUCAAAGGGAAGUGUCCCAUUCUUGCCUGACAUAGGAUUUCAACAACUCAACAGUACAGGGUUCAUUUGAUCCAAAUGUUUUCAGUGGGUGAUAAGUCAGGACUCUAGCAAGGCCAGUUCAGCAGUAGGACUCUUCUACUACAGAGCCAUGCUGUUAUACCUGCAAAUGUGGUUGGUCAAUUUCUUGCUGAAACAUGAAGUUCUUCCUGAAAAAGUUGUUGUCUGGAGACCUAUAAUUGACUAUUUUAAUUUAUCAACAUGAGUUUUCCAGAUCUGCAUUAUAAGUGAACACAGGGUAUUUAUCCUGUUGAAGGAUGGGUGGAAUGAGAUCAGCACGCCAGCUGCAUUUCCACAUAGAAGCAAGAAGAUGUGUUAAUCUUAUGGCAACUAUGUUCCUUGGCAGUGGUUAGGGUUCAGCUUAGGGUUGGUGUUCCCCAUGCCUUUAUCACUCAAGCACUUAUUUACAAUAUUCAGACCUUGAGUUUAUUAACUCCAUUUCAAGGCAGUGCAGCAUACUUCUGGUGGUUGUAUUGACCAAAAUUUGAUUGUAGUCAGUAAGAAUUGGUAGGUGCAACUGCACCUCAAAAGCUUCUUCAGAAAUCAGUGAGGACAUCUAAGACUGUGUCCAUCUUUUAUACACUCUACAGUUGGGUCCAAACCUACCAUUAAAAACUUCAAAGUCUAAGAAAACAACAAACUAAAUGAGUAGGCAAAUGGUUAAACCAGCAGUGCUGCUACUUCUGAAGGCUGUUUGGAUAAUGGUCUGUCUUGGCUCAGAGUCUGUCCCCAUUGCUAGUUUGAUUUAAGAAGAGCUGAGACCUCAUAUCAGAGGAUUUGGAAGUCUUGGAUAGUAACUAUUCAAUAUUAGAGAUCUUGGACAUAUUGAAAAAUAUGCUUGCAAUGCAUCCAAAUUCAUCAGUCUCUGUUCUUGGUGAAAGGUUUCAGCAGAUUUUGUUAACAGCAUAAAUUUAGGAGGACAGCUCCAGACUGUGCACUUUAGAAUAAAACUUUGUUCAUCCAUCAUGUCACAGACUCAAACAUUAAUAGAGGUUCAACUCUCCGCAGAAAGUUUUUAAAAUAUGGACGCCUGUAAUAAGUUGUCCUUGCCCUUGUUGUAUAAAGUAGGAACCCAGAAUCCAUGCAUAGCUUUAAAGUAAUUGUUUUCCUCACUUGUAUGAUGAAAAGCAAUGGAAACUCAAGAAAAACUAGUUUCAGUCAACAAAAGGCACUCAUGAAAGUAGAAGGCUGGGUAGAUGUAUUUCUUUGUCUGCUUUGACAGAGGUUGAUUCACUUAAUUCAGCUCUUUGAUGCCACAAAGAUCCACUCAAGGCUCCUCUUUAUUGUCUGCCAACCGCUGGGAUUUAAAUUUAUAUUGAACCUCAGGGGACGGAGGAAAAAGACGGCUUGAAGAGGACUCUGUGUCUCGUUGUGAUGGGUUUCAAUGAACGAUCAAUGAACCAACAAAUGAAGGACUUAGUUGUUGAUUUGAAAACAACCAUACAAGUGUCCAGUGACAUACUUCCAGUGCCAUCCAAUUAUCUCUGAACUAUGAUCAGUCUGGUUUUGGUGGAGAUAAGAUAUUAGAUAUUUUUGAUUUCCUUGCAGGAACCUUCAAUAAAGUCUAUCUAAUCUAAUCUAAUCCAAAAUAUUUCAAAACAGUGAGCUUUUUUGUUGUUGUUUUGGACUCACCAUCCUCAGACAUUAAACUAUUCCAUUGUCAGCUAAUAUAUCUGAUGGGUCAAUUACCGUUAUCUUAAAAUCAGUCAUUCUGUCCUGGAUGAUCACGCUCCAGCUUUCAUCCCCCUGGCACGGUUGUUGUGAGUGACAGCUGGCCUCAGACAUGGGGGUUCAGUACGCAUCCAAAGUCCUAGACCACCACUUUCUCAGAUUGAGCCCAUAAAAAAAAAUAUAUUUUAUAUUCAAGUGACUAUAGUUUACCACUCUCAACUUCUCAAACCAACUUUUUUAGCAGCAGAGGCAGACCAACAACUCCCGUUUCUGCUAAAUAAAACAGGUGCUUUCCUUGAUGACUCAGGUGACAUUGGGGGGAUUUCAUGAUUCCACCAAGCUCAUGUUCAAACUGCAGUAGUGGAAACUGAACUCGUACCUAAACCAAACAUCAAUUGCUUUUUUUUGACAUUUCAGCUUUCAGCCAAAUGAAAAAGCAGAACCAGCCAAUGUUUAUGAGGGCAUCAGUAAAAUCCAUAAAGAUCAGUGUAAAAUAAAGAAAGAAUGAGGAGAGGAAUGAGGAAAGACUCUGCCAUUAGGUUAACAAGUUGGGGCUGCUGCUACAUAAUUAAGCAGUUCAUACUGGUGUCAGCGUCCAGCUUAAAGUCGGUGAAGACUUUGUCCAAGUUGUCAAAUACAACUGAGUGAGACAGACUCAAUCAUAUUACACCAGAUCUGCCCUAGGAAAUGGGGCCCGGCAUUCAAAUCAGUGCUUCAAAAAUCUGACAAACAAUCCAUCAAACAUACAAACUCGUGGAAAACCUAAAGUAUUUUAAAAGAAGGUAACACAAAGGUCCAAACUUCUUGAAGGUGCAAUGGUUCAACGGUCCCUUCUGUUGCAACUGGGAGUCCCAAGGGCAGCAGGUAUAGUGGCCCCAGAACUGAGCCCUGUGGCACACCACAUAGAGAGAAUUCAACAAUAAAACAGUGAAGAAAACCUGCCUGAUCUUGCGCCUGAUACUACCAGAAAAUCGAAAGAAAGUCAGGGAGAAUUCAAAACAACAAUCCCCUGCAUCAGCGAACUUUAAACAGUCAUCAGGGACCCUCAGAGGACUGGUUUCAUUAGGGUGGUCUUCCUGGAUACCUUGACAGCAAUUGAUUGUAGAUGUUUUGAAUCUCCAAUGCAGCAGUUAAUCAACUGGCCAACAAUUUAAUGAAAAGUUUUGACAGAAGUGUGAGUCCAGAUAUAGAAAGUAAAUCUAAUUACUUGAAAAAAGGUCCAUCAUUGUUGGGGUUUUUAAUUUCUUUACCAAAUCUGAGCCUGUCCGUGGCAAAACCAAGAACUUUGAUGGAUGUGGUUAGAUCUCAUGAAGUCCCAAAAGAGGAUUUCACUGCAAAAACGUGUGCCUUUCUGUCAUUUUGGCAUUAAAAUAUGCAAAUACAGCAGCUAGAGUUAAAAAUAAAGAUGCCCCAUUUUAAAUAUGCAGUCACCUUGGAUUAUAUGAACCUGUACUCACCUUCUCUUUGUGUUUCAAGCUUUAGACUGAUCCCUCCUGAGAAAUUUAUACAAACUGAGGCUGUCACUUUCACCAUACUUCCCCAACCCGCUUUUGAAGGUAACAACAUCCAGCAACAGAGAAUUUGGGGAUUUGUGGGGCUGCUAUCGGGCACAGAAACAAAUCAGAGAAGGCGUUGUUGAGAUUUGUAUUGUAGAAAUUUACAUCAGAGGACGAUGCAGGAUGAGUUUAAAGUAGAAAGUGUCUCAGCCGAGCAGAACUGACACCAAUCUGUCAGACUUCCCACGUAAACACACACUCACACAGACUCGUAAUAAUGAAGAUAAAAUGAAGAUGAGGAGGAGGAGGAGCAGAGGAAGGAAUGAAAUGAGAGGAGGGAGAUGAGACAAAUGGAGACGGUGUGUCAUUCACAUGAGAAAUGACGAGUUUUCAGCUGUGAUUUCUCUGCUGUACUCCCUCCUGUCUCUCUCUCCUUCAGGCGAUUCUGCUCUCUAUCUGUCUUGUUUGUCUCAUUGUUGGCUGUGACAGCCCUCCGCCCCAUCUGCAUUCACAUUAAAACCCUGAAAACGUGUGUUUGUGUGUGUAGGUGAGCCUCGGUGACAGCUCUAAGAUCUAAUGAAGUGUCUGGCUGCGGGUAUAAAUAUCACUUCAGUUCAGUUUAUUAAGAAACUAAGAAGGAGAGAGAGAAAGAGAGACAGAGAGAGUGAGAGGAAGCAGAAAACUACUGCAGAACAUUCACAAGUGUUGAGAUUAGUGUCGCGAAAGCAGGCGUGUCGUCACAUGUUUAAAAGCAGCGGUGCCAUAUUUAGAUGCAAAUCCUUUCAGAUAAAUAUGCACAUGUGCACUGUGGCAAGAAGCAGAGUCUCAAAGAAUACAUAAUAAAAAUAAAAAUGAAUAAAAUAGCAAAGAAAUAAAUAUUUAAUCGAUUCCCUCUGCCAUCCUGCAGUUCAGUAUCUCUUCAUGAAAGUCAACACUUCCUGCGCAUGAUUUACAAUGAAGGCCUCUAAGGGGAGAGAUGGAUUCUGUCCUCCUGAAGUGCUUGAAGGCUUUUAAUGUGAAACAGGAAAUCUCCGAUAAUAGAUUUUCUCUUUAAAGGGGACGCAGCUCCCUAACAGGGAUGAUUCAGGUUUUUACAGAGUGGUUCUAAGAGGUACUUGUAGAUAUUAGCCACAGGGGACUAAGCGUGACUAACUUUUGGAAAAGUUUGUCAAGUAAUAAUGGUAGUAGGUCUGCUGACACCAGCCUGACUAAUGUGAUAGGUCUGUCCAUGCACACGUUUAUGUAAGCAUUUGCUGUGUGUCACUUGUGGCUAUUGUAGAAAAUAUAUUUAAAAGACAUGCAGGAUUUUCUGGGCCAGGCUCGCAGCAGAUGGAUAUUUUGUGUAGGUUGUCUGCAAUCCUGCCGCUCAGCAUUUACCUCUGUACAGCAAGAGUCUUGCCCCCAUGAAAAUCUGUCAACUCCUUAAGCACCUCAGCUGUGAUGGGAGUGAAAAUCAUGAUAUAAAAAUUCUGAACGUUGCAGAGGUGAAAAAUUUAAAGUUGCUGUCAGGGGUCUCUCAGUCCUGUUUAAUUUUCAAGUCUUUGACCACAAGACCUAUUGAAGACUCAAGUCCAUGAGUCACAAGUACAAGUCUCAUGUAUCCAAGGGGCAAGUCUUAGACAAGACCAGAGUACCUAAGGGUCAAGUACAUUUGAGUCCUAAGUCUUUAGCCUCAAGUUCAAGUCCAGACUGAAAUCUGUAAGUACCAAGACCAAGCCUAGUCCCAAAUUUUUGGCAAGUCUCAGUUCCUUUGCCACAAGUUCAGGGUAAAUUUCAAGUUUCUUAGAGUCAAGGAUGCAAAAGUGCCAUGCCAUGCCAAAACAUGAAUCUGUUUGUCUUAUUGAUUUUAAAUUGUUUUAAUCACUUUUUUGAUUUCUAGUAUAUCUUCUUGCAUCUGUAAAGCACUUUGAAUUGCCUUGUGUAUGAAUGGUGCUAUAUAAACUUGCCUUGCCUUUUAUACAGUUCCCCAAAGCGUUUUGUGCAACUCCAUGGCUUCAAACUUCGUUUUUCAUCUACAAUCACUCUGCUCUCACAAACUCUCCAUGGUGACAGCCGACAGCGCACACAACAUCCCUGUUUAAAGAGGGUGGUCCGCACCACAUUUGCGCCAUGUAUCAAUUGCACACGCAAUGAUAGUAGAUUUACCCACAAAACGCUGACUAAUAGCAUGUGCAAUUUUUUAGUUUGCACACGCAAAUUAGUGCUCGCUAUUUUGGAUCUUAGUAGAUCAGGCCCUUAACCUUCUGAAGUUCAAGUUCAGGUCAAGACUCGAGGAUUUUAAAGGCAAGUGUAAACUGGUUCUUAAGUCUUAGAGAGGGAAAUCCAAGCAUAGUCUGAAGUCCAUGACCACAAGCUUUGGUCUAGUCACAGAUGUCUAUGGGGGGAACCCAAGUGGAGUCAUAAGUCUCUGAUGGGCAAGUCUCAGUCCAGUUUCAAGUCUUAAUCCCAAGUCUCUAAUCCACAAAUCAAAGCACAGGCUCAAGUCUAUGAGAGGCAAACCUAAGUCAUGUCCCAUGUAUUUACUGGGCAAGUCAAGUUUCAACUCUUCGAAGGGCAAGUCCAGGCCAAGUUUUAAGACCCAGAAGGACAAGUCCAACUUAAGACCCAAAUUUCUGAGGGGGAACUUUUAGUUGAGACUCAAGUCUCUGAAGAGCAAGUCCAAGUUCUACAUCCUUGGCCUCUAGUUUAGUCAAGUCCAAGUCAGUCUAGAGUCAAGUCAGUCUAGAGUCUCUGAGGGAAAAAUCAAAGUCAUGCCUCUAGAAACAAGUCCUGGUCAGGCCUCAAAUCAUUGAUCACAAGUCCAAGUCAAUACUUAAGCCUCAAGUGUUUAGGGGCAAGUCUAGGUUCUGUCACACAUCUUUGGCAACUGGGCUCAAUCAAGUCUCAAGUCUUUGAGAAGCAAAUCUCCAUCAAGUUUCCUAUUUCUAAGGGGUUGUCCAAGGGAAGUUUUAAGUCUCUGGCCACACGUAUAAGUCAAACCACUGGACUCUGAAGGGUAAACCCAAGUCAUAUCUCUAGUCUUUGAGGGGCAGGUCCAGGCCCUGUCAGUAAUAUUUGGCCUCUAGGCUUAGUUGGGUUGUGCCUGUCUUUUUUUCACUUUAGUUGUUGAGGAAAAGAAUCGGUGAUAUGACAUUUUGACCAAUCAGAGUCCAGUUUUUACCACAGUCUGUUAUAUUUGCAUAUGAAUCAAUUCAGAGUUCUCUCUGUCAGAAAAACACUGAAGUUUUCAGAGUGAAAGAAACAGUGAUUUAGGGAGCUGAGUACAAUCCAUCAGCAACACACCUGUAGUAAAAAGAGCUCAUGACGCAAUAAUGACGCACUCUCGUUGCAUUCAAACUCGUGCUGUAAUUAGAUGUAAUGGGGGGCAAAGAGUCAAGAAAUACUAGGAGUCAGUGGAUUGAAAAGCCGUCACAUGGAGGCUUCCUGCUGCUGUAAAGCGGCACUACUGCAGUUAAACUCCAGCGGGAGGCGAAGCCUAUUUAUUCACUUUUAUUCCUGACAAAAGCUCAAGAGGAAGAGGAGGAGGCACAAAGACAAAGAGUGAAGAAACACACAAAACCAGCAACAACAUGGCGACAACAGGGGAUCAGACGCAGAUUACCUCCCAGAUUUUCCUCUAAAGUGAGACUUCAAAUUAACAGAGGAGCAUUUUUUUUUGAUUUAUCCAUAUUUUUGGAAGCAGCUCUGGGAAUUUAUGAUCUCUCAUGUGUCCUGUCUUACUUCAUCUGAGAGGUGAAUGAAAUGUUCCUUUGAACUCUUCAAAAGCAGAAAUCUCUUCAGCUGCAGCAGAGAAAAUGACUCCUAUACGAGGGUCUCAGCGUCACUUUCUCAGGAACAUUUUAGCUCCACAUCUUAGAAAUGGGCUCUAAUGGCUGAACAGGACGGUAAAAAGUGUGCUCAAACAGGUGAUAAAAACACUCCGACUGCAGCUUUAUGCCUGUUUCAUGUCUCAGGGAUGUCCUCAGGAAGAAAGGUCAAUGACAGCUGCAUCUUCAGCCUGACGGGCGACGCUGAGGGACGAGAAAAUAUCAGGGAUGGUGUUGGGAAUAUUGGAAGAGCUUGAACGGCCAAAUCCAGCGAUGAGUGACGGACAGAUGCAGACAGACGGGUCCUUUCAUGGACUCAGUGUCCAUCAGAGCGUUGUGUGGUAGAGCUCUGAUGCAAUGCGCCGAAAUACCAUCAAACACACUCCGACACACACACUCACACUUUCAUAUGUGCAUGAAGGCUCUAAAAGCGGGCAUUGAUUGUGCUUUUUUGCCUAUAAGGAGAGUUGGUUAGACAGAUGUCACCAUGGAAACACACAAGUAUGCAAACGCACCAUUUUAAAGUGUGAAAAACAAAUAAAGAACUCAGAGAUUCGGCUCUGAGUUUGAAAAACAAGAGAAAUGAGGAGGAAGGAUGAAAGAGUCGUUCUGCUUUAGUUCUCUACUGUCACAGUUUUAUAUCAUGUUUUUAUGUCUGACACCUGUUUGACAGAGAGAAACAGAAACACAUACAACACCUCUGUGUACCCCAGCUCCUCAAAUCUGCCAAAUACAGCAGCUUCUUCAGGGGCAUGUUUUCUUUUACGACUUAGACCCCAAAUUCAGUGCUGUUUUUGCCGUCAGAGGACAAUUCAUCAAGCAUCAUACUUUAAUGAUGAUUUAAAAGAAACAUAUUCUGCCAUCCAGACACUGACUUUGUCAGAAAGACCUUCAUUUCAGCAGAAAAAUGACACACCACAGUCUGCAGGUAUUACAACAGAAUGGCUCUGUAGUGGAAGAGUCCUGCUGCUAAACUGGCCUGCAUACAGUUCGUGACGUGUCACAGAUUUUUCGAGCAUCAUAACAUCAAAAAAGGACCCCGAAACCAUUGAUAUUAUGUCAGUGAGGGUCAAUGAAGCAAAUAUAGAUAAAUAAUUUAGAUAAAUAAAUAGCUCAGAAAACACAUAUACAUUUCAUUCAAUGCAAGAAAAUUAACAUUUACCCUAAAAAACAUGAAAAAAAAAAAAAAAACACACACAAACACAUAAAAACAUGACACGGACGUACAUUUUUAAAUUAAUCUUUAAAUUUUAAAUUAAAUUAAAUACAUUUUAGAAAACAUAAAUAGAAUUUAUAAAAUACAAAAGUGAAAAUUCAGAUUCAAACUUUUUGGAAACUCAAAUAAAUAUUUUGGCAAACCUGUAAAUUUGAAAACCACAAAAGCCUCGAAGACAAGCAGACAAAAUAUGAAAACAAAAAAAUAUUAUGACAGUUUACUUAAAUCUUGAAAAAUAAUGGAAUAUUUGGGAAAUGCAAAUACAUUUUGAAUACAAAAUGUUUUUAGACACAUGCAUCAAUUUUGAAGAAACAAAAAAAUGCAAAUGAAAGUUAUUAAUUUUGAAAUGAAAAAAAAAUUCAAUUGUUAUAUUAAAAUUUGUAUUUUUUCUAAAAUAGUUGCGGGUUUUUAAAAAUAUUUUACAAAAUAUUUAUUAUGUAUUUGAAUUUAUUUCAGUUUUCAAAAAAUAUUCUAUGUUCAUGUGAAACAUUUUUGUGCGUUUCUGAAAAUUUUUUUUUCUUUUUCAGAUAUCCAUUUAUUUCCUAACUUUUAAUAUCUGUACCAUUGACCUUCAGGGCCACUGUACAUCAGAUUAUUCAGAUGAUUUUGCAGCUCAAACAGCCACAACUACUCCUCCGACACAAACUUUGAAGUGAAACGUUCCUUGUGAAAGACUAAAGACAUAUAAACGUAAUAUUAAAUCAGGGUCAUACAGUCAGAAACAAACAGGCAUCUGUAAAUAUCAGCGUAACUGCAAACACGAUCCUCUGCUCUGUCAGCUGCAGGACAGAGCGAGUGACAACACAGAUCCUUUUUACCUUAAACGUGACGUUCAAAGACUCAUUUCAUGACUCCUUCUCCUCUGUCAACAAAGGGGGGAAAAAAAGGCAACGCUGCUGAAGGCAAAGAGGUGAGACGCAGAAUAAAAGACGACAGCUGUGACAAGUCUAAAAAGAGAAAAGGGGAGAAAGAGAAACCCUGUGGCUCAGGUAAUGAGGAAAACGCUCAUUCAGCUGCAGGUCUGUGGUUUGAAAAAUAAACAUUCUGGCUUUAUUUCAACCAAAUAGCCGCAAACACAGAACAGAAAUUCAAUCAGAGCUAAAAAUUGAAACCAAACUAUGUGUUGCUGUGUAAAAAAGAACAAAAUGCAAGAAAUAAAAGAUGUCGAAGUGAAAAUCUGAGACUUUAUCUCUUUCUUCUUUACCCACAGCUCGACAAACAACUGAGUAAGCUUUCCUCGCUGAGCGGCAGAAGGAAAUGAAACUUAAUUCCACUAUCUAAAUAAUGGGAUUUAUCGACUGGACGGUCUAAUCAGCCUCUCCAACACAAAUAAAGGCCUUAUUAACGCUGUGAUGAGGACAAAAAGAGCUGCAGAGGGAACUUUAUCAGCAGCACAGAUACUGAAGCAGCUGCUGAGAGAGGAAAUCAGAGUGCUGAUAAGAGAGGAUGGUGUUAAAACAGCUUAUAAUGACUUUUAGAGAUAAUAUGUUUAAUAAUAAAGAGGUUUGGACGGUUGGCUGGACAAAAUAAGCAAAAUUAAAGAGUCACUUUGAGUUCUGGGUUAAUGUGGCAACUGUUUGUAAAGCUGCAGAGUCCCCAAAGCUCUGCAAACGGUAUGGUUUUAUAGUGGUGGUGAUCCUUUCCACUACAGUCCUCUUAAUACUAUCUAUUUACAUUUUAACAUUAUGGGAAAUGACUUUAACAAUGAUGUAGUUACCAAGUAUCUAUGUUAUCACAACAGUAUAUGUAUGUAAGAUAGUCACCCCGUACGUGUGAUAACCUAUGCACACAAAAUAAUCACAUUUAUGCACAAGAUUAUCACUUUUUCAUAAAAGACAGUCACUUUCGCAUACGAGAAGACACAAUCUAAUUUAUCUACAAGAUACUCAUUGUUACAGCCCUUGGAAUGACGAUGCGUGAGAUUGACUGAUGCAUAAGGUCUUUAUUUAUUUCUUCACUUCAUGAUCCUUACGGCACCGUGAAACUGUUUUUUAAAACACAUACAAAUAAACAUCAAAUACAAUUCCACACUUAUAAAUUUAACAAUAUUAAAACAUUUAGCACGUACCUCGCUGCGCUCUCCAAGGAGUGUAAAUAAAUCCAUGAAUGAAUUGCGUGCUCAGGUGAUCGUCAACAAACCCUCUCGUGAAUGAAACAGACGUCACGUCUUUGCCCAAAGACAACCUUCAAACAACAAAGGAGCGGCGGUACAACAGCCGCUUUGUUACACAACAAUAUAACUUAACUCCAAAGAGAAACAAAACACUGCCAAACACUCACCAAAGAAAUACUCUUACCCGGCCUUAGCGAUGCUGCACCCAGCCGCCGCUGCCUUAAUGGCUGUAUUAACUGCAGCUGGCUACGACCCGACAGGAAAUACUUCGACAAACAAACAAACAAACAGAAAAACAACAGAAGAAGGCUCUACAACAAUUCAAAGAGAAAACAAAUUUACCCCUUUGAUUUUCCCUUUUUAAAUUUUUUACAUUUUACCUUUCAGGUAUUCACACACAUACACAACUCAGAAAUGGCAUUUUUUGCACAAGAUAACUCAAGAACUCAGUAUCUAACUUGUGUUCACUACACAGUAGCUCAUAUGCGCAACAUACAAACUUUGGGACUAAAAAUAACUUUCUUACAAAAUUAGUAAUCACUUUUGGUGAUUUUUGGUGAUUUCAUUCUUGACAAUAAAACAAAACCUUUAGUUAAAGUUGAAGCGCCAAAAGCUGUAGCUCCCUGAGUGGCCACUAGGGGCAUGUUCCAAAAGUAAGUCUGUCUCUAUUUGGUUCCAUGUUAAAAUUUACUACACAGUUAAACCUGUCUGAAGUCAGAUAGAAAAACGGUUCUGGUCACUUUAUCUUAUUUGUUUAUUUAUACUCAUCUGUACAGAAAUUCUGAAAUUUAAUAAGCCACAUAAAAACCGCCACGAAACACUGAACCGCUGUGUGUGUUGAUGAGAAAUAAAUAAAGCCCUCUCUUCCUGACGCUCAGUUUAUUUUUUUAAUCAUUGUGACUCUAUCAUCUCAGUAUUUUAUUGAUGACCAUCAGCCCCCCCGGCACUGAGACAGAUUCCUGUCUGUCUUUGAACAAGGUCGUCUUCGUAUAACAGACAUUUUAUUUCUGCGUCCUCGAUGGCGAGCUGAAGAGCGCAGAGGUGUCGGCACCUCAUUUAGGUUUAUAAAUGAUGAAGCAGGCGUCCGCGCUUAGAGGAUGUCCUCUGCUUCCAGCUCGCCAAAAUACCUCAGUUCAUUUACAAACAAAUAGAGUCUACUGUCUUUUUAUCAGGGAUAUUAAAUGAGGAGUUGGACACAGACUUACAGCUGAAUGAUGAUGGAAACAAUGAAAAUGUCACAUAUCUGCUUAAGUGUUAUACAAACACCAAAACCAGCUCUCUAAAUACUGGCUUUAUAAGGCAUAAUUUUUUUGCAUUUUAAUUCACAAACUCUUAAUGUUUAUGUGUCGUUUUGCCUGAUUGAUAGAUUUUUUGGUAGACUGAAGAUGGACCUUCCAUCAAUCUCUUAUUUCCUAAGUCCAGGGCCACCAUUUCCCCUCUCCUUUAUCCCCUGUGUUGUUAUUUUUGGUGCACCUGUGAUGUUUGAGCUUUGGAUUGAGUGUAAAAUUCCUGCUUUCACCAAAAGCUGACAGAAAUGUCUGCACCAGUGGGGGAGAAAUAUGAAAUAUGUUCCUGCUCUUGCAGACCAAAACCUAAGCCGUGAAAUUCUGAAACCAAUUUCCUCAAAUGCAUCCAAAUAUUUACCUGCAUAAAUUGCAUAUGUAUGACUUUUUAUCUGAAAAGCGCAGAGAUUGAGCCGUCCUGAGUGUGCAGGAGCUCCAUGUGUGCUCAGGCUGAAGACUCAGACUGCUCGGUGCACCAUUUCUCAUGUAAUCUGUGCAAAAAAAGGUUUCCAAAAUGCAGAAGGAGAAAUUAAACGGCGUCUGUUUGCACAAACGCUCUGUGGUAAACAGUUUUUCACUCCUGCUGAAGGAAAAUUUUGUUUUAACCUGUGAAUGACAUUCGGAUUAAGGCUAAAAAUCACAGAUAAACAGCCCACAUCCUCCUACGGUGUGUUCCAGUGUGUGUCUGCAGUGUAUGCACGAUUAUAUGUGUAAACAUGUGUGUAUGUGUGUGUAUGUGUGCAGACUUUAAUGCAUUUAUGUGUGUUACUUUUCUUUGUUGCUGAAUAUUAAUGUGUCAUUUGGUGGAGCCGUGUUCGGGCUGUUCAUGUUUUUUAGAUUGUGUCAAUGUCUAAUACUCAUCCAUGCAAAUCAAAUAUGUUUGAAUUAGAGCAUGUGUGUGUGUGUGUGUGUGUGUGUGUGUGUGUGUGUGUGUGUGUGUGUGUGUGUGUGUGUGUGUGUGUGUGUGUGUGUGACAGACAGACAGGAAUGCUGGGCUGUGAUUUCCCUGCAGGCUGUUCUUGCAUUUAACUGUGUUCGGCCCACAACAUUCACAUGACAUAAAUUAUUCAUAACAUCCACCGACUGUGAGUGUGUGCGCCUGUGUGGGUGAGUGUGUGUGUGUGUGCAUAACCAUAUGUGUGUGUGUGUGAGAGAGUAACUGUAUGUGUGUUUUGGAUUGAUUUUAAGUUAAUAACUCGUGUAUACGGCGGGCUGUUGGAGCGUUUUCUUUAGUACCUCGUUUUUUAAAAAAGCGUUGGGCUUUAAACACACAUACAGAUAUUAAAUCUAAAACUCUCCAGAGGUGUGACGCAUGUGAGUGUGUGCGAGAAUCAAUAUGUAGCUGCAGGUUUAUUUCAUGGCUGCAGAUGCUGGGGUGCUGGACGUCUGCUGAAAAUGAUAUUUAAGAAUGAAACACACACACACACACACACACACACACACACACACACACACACACACACACACACACACACACACACACACACAAAAGUGAUAAAAAGACACAGAGAGGGGAUUUAUGUUGAUGGAAAUCUACGUUUGAAUCCCUCAGUCAGAGGCCCAAAUUCAUGAAACAUUCUCAAGUGUGAACAUGUAUAAUAAAGGUAGAAAUCUAUUAUAUAAACAUCAUUCAUCAUUCAUCAAGAGUAUAACUCAGUCAUAUUAAUAAUCUUUGAACAGCCAGUGGAGAAAAUUAGAUUUAUAAUUAAUGUUGAAAGUAAAGAAAGGUGUUUCAGCCUUUAAAGAAUGAAAACUAGAUCAUUAUAUUAAUGCAUUUUGAAAAAAUAUGGUUAAAAAUGAUUUUACAGUUGCUGCUGUGGUUUACACUUAGAUGAUUUACUUAAAGGGCUCUUUUAACCUGUGCUAAUUCAUGAAGCUAUUUGCAAUCUAAGCACUCCAACAAACUCAGGAUUACAUUGGGAUGUCUGGUGAAUCAUGAAUUACCCCCUGAUGUUGACGCUGGGUGUGGUGCAUUUGCACGGGAUAAGCAAAGUCUGUGAUUUAUUCAAAUUUACCGACAUUUCUUCACAAGAACAUUGAAGUGCUGCACAAAAACCCACCUUAUUUCUGAGGACAGUGUCAGUCUCUUCAGCAGCAGCCAGCAGGAAAAUGAUGAAAUGGAGAAGACAUCCAGAAAGCAUUAAGCUUUAAAACAUUAGGGCAUACUGUAUAAAGUGAAAGAAAAACUUCUAUGAAUUUUACAACAAAAAAGUGAUGAAUUUCAACUUGUUUUUGUAUGCAACAUUGCUAAGAAAAAAAGACUAAGACAUGUGCCUGCAUAUUCAUUUUUGAUAAAGUAUAAUGCAUAUGUUGCAGGCUAUCCUUUGAGCGUCAAGGAUUCUGCAUUUUAUCUGUAUUUUAAGUCGACCUAUUAAUAUUUUCUAACCUUCAACAAUAUUUACUUUGACUUCUUCUUGUUCUUGUUCUUGUGGGAUGUGGGAGUAGGGGAUCUGAACUCAGCCCCUAACAUGCUUCGAUUUCAAAAACGCCUCAGGACAGAUACUCAGUUCACUGCGCUUUCAGCUACAUUGUUAUCUUCAAGUCUCAAGGCUGAAAUCUACUGAAAGGUUGAAAAAUGAAUGCCUGGGAAUGAGAGCAAAUGCACUGAUUGGUUUGAUUUGUGAUACGCAUAUAAAACAACUUUGAAUAACUGAGCCUUUUUGCACUUUGCACCCUACUUAGCAUCCAGACUGUGCGCAGCCUGACUAGCAACAUGUGGUCACACCAGUGAAAGUUGGCCAUGUGCUUUCGACCGUGCAAAGAUGAAAUAGGGCCCUUUGUGCAUGAAGCAGAAGAGCCAUACAGAAAGCCCUGUAAAGAGAUAUGAAACAUGAUAGAGGACAUGCAAGAUGACUAAUAAAAGAUAAUCAGGACAUCUUAAGUGUUCGAAAGGAGAUGCAAAUUGGCCAGAGAGAAGAUAAUGACUCCAAACAUACUAAAAUAAUCCAAAGAGAUGCAAAGUUGCAGAGAGACAAUGAAAAAUUUGUUUAAAAUGUCAGUAAACACAAAAGUAAAGGCGCAAAAAUAUGCAAAAUGACCACAGAAAUACUAAAAAUGACGGGCAAGGGAUGCACAAUUAGCAAAAUGACAACUGAAAUGAUCAACGGAAGAUUGCAGAUGACCAAUAUACCUAAAAAACCCUCAAAUAUACUGUAUAGUCUAAAAGAAGAGCAAAAGAAUCAUAACAUGACUGAAAAUCAUGGAAAAAAAAGACCUAAACAUCCACAAAGAAACUAAAUCAGUCCAGGGAUUUGCAUGUAUAAUGACCGGGCGGUUAUACUUGUAAGUGCACAAAAAAUAGAUACAGGGAUAUAAUGUGCUUCUUAGGUUGUUAUUUUCAGCCAUCCAUAAGAUUUAUGUCAAAACUAGAAGAAAUUAAAGCAUAAAAAAUAAACGAAGACAAGUCUUACAGAAUACAUGAUAGUAAUUGCAUGAACUGUGCAUGUACUUCUACAGGGUUUGUAUCCAAAAAUGAUAAAAAACUGAAAAAGAAGAGACCUGCAGAAGUAGAAAAAUCCAGAGAAUUAUGGGUCUUUUUCUGCAAAGACUCUUAGAUCCAGAGCUCUAUGGAUAAUCAGGCAGGUUUAGGAAAUGAUUUAGUGGCUCUGCUGUGAAUUUGACUUGAAUUCUCAUGAUGUGUUGAAUAAUGGAAAUCAUAUUCUCAUUCUGUCUCGACAUGGACAGGGUUAGAUUACUAGUUACUGUAGUUCACCGUUAUUAGAUCUGAACCAUCUCACACAGUCAAACUUACUCUACAGUUUUCCCCUCAAAUAGAAAUGACAGAAAAGUCGACGCCUACACCCAACAAUCCAUCUUAAUGAUCGCUCAUCACAUUAAAUCUGCCGACAGCACAAUAAAAAAAAAACCUCCGGCUCUAGUUUGAGUGGGAGAAAUCUGCUGAAACAAAAAACACUUUUCAGACCACCAAAUAAAAAUAUAACCAAAAAAAAACAAAACUUUUUUUUCCAACAAUAAUGAUGAUUAAUGACCUCUGGAUGAAUAACAAAAUAAUAUUUUUAAAAAGUGCCUGUUGAUGUUUUUGCUUUCUUUGGGGUUUAAGAAUGACUAAACUAAUACUCCACACUUCCACACUGAAAGCUGACUUUGUUUUCACUUGAUAUGAAGUACUGGAUACGCAGUUUUCAUGAUGUUGGCAUCUACUCUGUUUGUCAGUCAUGCAGCCGUGACCUCUGACCUUUAUCGCUCUUCCACUUGACUGUUUGAAAUGUCAGUGACUUCAGGAGUUCAACUGUCAGUGAGGCCAAAGAAAGACAGACAACCGAGGGGAAAGAAGUCGCCAGAGUUGUGAUAUUUGCUUGACUGUAAAUGGUUAUUUUCCUGAAUUUGUUUUUACUGCCUGUUAUUUUAUCAUUUAAGACUCAUUAAAGAGCAGUUUUCUCAGUCAUCACUCGUAUAAGAGCUAAACAACAACCUGAAGCUCCUUUUUCUUUUCUUUCUUUCUUUCUUUCUUUCUAAAUGAGCCCAACUUUAGGGGUCUCUACAUGCCCCAAGGGGUGAGGAGGGUCAAGUGUCUUGCCCAAGGACACUUAAAGGGAUAUUCCAGCGUGAAAUUAAUUUAGGGUCAAACACACCGUAACAGAGUUAGACACCCCCUUGAGAGAUUAAUGUUGCCGACCGCUUGCUUCUCUAGUUUUACCAACUUUAGUGAUGACCGCACAAUAGCAAUACACAGCGGUCUGAGGAGCCAUAAACAAACCUCAAUUAAAACGCCACUCUAUAGCCACAAAUAAUGCUCAAAACAGCACCUAACUUCAACUCACCUACUCUCUUCCAGCAGCUGCUUGUUUGUAGCAAGACCUUGUGCCAGUCCAUUACUGACUGCUGCAACAUUCAUCUCUCGAGGGGGUGUCUAACUCAGUGUAAUUAAUUUUAAUUAAUUUUACUCCUAAAUAUUCCUUUAAACAUGUGGACAGCUCUGGGAACGAACCCCUGAUGUUCAGAUUGGGAGAUUACUGACUCUACUAACUGAGCCACAGCCACCCCUGAUGUACAGAUGAACCAGAUGAGGCCUUUCACAGCAGCAGUCAGAACAUCAUAAUGUUUGAACUCCCUUUAAGAUGAGACAACUUGAAAUAUUGUAUAUUUCUCACAAAAGUAAGAAUCCUUUUUUACAGUCCGUGAAAUCACAAGUUUUUCAGCGCCUCCUUACCUUCCAAAACUCAACCUCUCAGUAAAAGUGUUUCCUGUUUUAUUUUGUAAGUCUUUUUUCUUGGUGUGUCUGGUCUAACUUUACUUCCUGUUCCCUCUCGUUGUCUCCACCUGUGCUUUGUUGUCUCACCUGUGCCUCAUUGCUUGUUACCCAGUGUGUUUAGUCUCUGUGUUUUCCCCUCUUUUUUUUAUCAGAUCACAGUCAAACCCUCCCAUGUGUUUCUGCGGAUUUCCCUCCAGCUCUGUUGUGGUUUCUCUCGUGUUAUUGGAUUUUCACCCAGGACUCUGUCACAGUAAGCCUUUUGUAUUUUUUUCCCUCUGUGGUUUUUUGUUGAUAAAAGGUGUUGUUGUCUGCACCUGGGUCUAUUUGCUUUGUUGAAAUCUGACAAGAGUGGGCUAGUUAUGUAACACUGAGCUGUGUAAUAGCUCUACCAGUCUUAUUUUGGUGUCUCAACUGGUUUAAACUUGGACAUACAAGUACUUCAUAGAUAUUUGUUGGAAGCUUGAAAACAGACAGUACCAGUCUAACAAGGACGUGUGGCUACACUAGCUUUGGAGCUACUACACAAGCAUUGUUGGAGCUAAUUGCUGAUCAGUGUGUGAGCCUCUUCUUCUUCUUCAUACUUUGACUUUUUAUGCUAAAGUUGAAGUGAUGCUGUGAGAGUUUUCUUUUUUCAUUGUUUAAAAAAUAGACUGAAACUGAGACUGAUGCCUCUUUGUAACUGUCAUAAGCAAUCAGGACCAUCAGCAAUAAGAUUGAUAACUUCUGUGGCAAAAAAAGAACAAAAAAAACCUCAUUCUGAAUGAUUGAUGUGUUAGUUAAAAGAUAACAGGAUGAGCUUUUUGUCUGGAGAGACUCUCACAUGUACAGGACAGGAGAUAAGAGUUAUCACUAUGUCCACAAGGGGCACCAGAACCAACACAAAAGUUCAUCAAAAGUUGCUCUUUAAUAAUCUCAGUUGGUUGGUUUAGUUAAUUGCCUCAGUGUGUACAUGGUUUUCAGUUCUUUUGUAGCCAGCCCCAAGUGGGCACCUGAGGAACUGCAGUUUUAGCUCGUGAUGAGCACAGUAGUUUUUUUAGAUGUACUGAAUCACUAGAAUCAGUUCGCUUUUUGUUUUUUUUGUUGUUGUUUUUUUUUGUUUUUUUGUGGGGUUUUUUUUGUCUUUCCUUUUGUCUCACAUUUAAAUGGGGUAGGCGCUAUAAACUCUUAGCUUCAGCCUUUACCCUUUUGGCCAAACAGUAUGAUUACUAACUAUAUAACUAAGUGAGAAACGAACGAAUCACUAGAGGAAGUAAUUCAGUUCAGUAUGUUCACUUCAAAGAUUUGGUUCUUUUGAAUGAAUCGUUCGCAAAUGACACAACACUCGUUUUAGCAUUUCCACAUUGGCUUUAAUUUCAGACUGGAGGUUGCAACUUGAUGCAAACAUGAAAAGCCAAGGCAGGUAGAGCAGCAGCAAAGACCAGAGAAAGCAUCAGUGACCAUCCAUAGGACUCUGUUAAAAUCAGAGAGCAUCAAAGAGGAGCUGGAGUGGAGGUGAGCCGUAGAGGAAGCAGGAAGAGUAGGCAGGCUGUAGAAGUUUGAAUGGAGCGCCAUUCAAUUUGACAUUUACCACUUAGAUGCAUAGAAGGUUAUUGAAUGACUUGUGAGCUGAUACAAGCUGGCAUUUGGGUCAGUUAAUGUACCUGACCUUACAGCCUGCCUGGACUUGCACUUCGCUAAAAAUCUGCAUUCUUGUUCACCCUUUUGUGUGAGAGUGGCAGAUGAUUGACAUCGACCGGAGAACUGCAAAAACAACAGUCUUAUGAGGGGCAGCAGAUAAAAUCCCUCUUCAGCUGUUUCUCUCUAAUUUCAGCCAGACUUUACCGCCUGGAAGGAUCGGAGCCCUUCCUACGAGGCCAAAAUGUGUGUUUGUGUGUCUGUUUUUGUGUCGAGGCUGCAAUUUUUUUGUUUUGUUUUUGAUGAGAGCGCUCCGAGAAUUGACCACAGCUGUCACACAGCUGAGACCGUAAUCCUGCGUCUAUGAAUGUGCUUUUGUGCAUCUCUGAAUGUGUGUUUGUGUCUGUGGAUGUGCGCUUUGUGUGUGUCUGUGGAUGUGCGUGUAUGUGUAUCUGCUUCAGUGGGUUUCUGAUGGCGUAACCUCGACUUGUAUUGCAGAUGACACUGAAACCUUUUUAAGCUGUCAGCCUCAAUAUCUGGUCUUUACAGGAGCGGUUAAGAGGAAUAUGUGUGUUUUUUUGUGCGUGUGUGUAUGUGUGUGUGCGCGCGUGUGUGUGUUUGCAGAUUGUAUUCCCUGUGACAGUACAGCAGAACCAUAAAUGGAGUUUAAAUUUUAAAUGACCUUUGCGACCUCAAACCCUUUCUCUUUUACAUUUGGCACACUCAAACACACAUCACACACAUCCCCCCCACAUACACACAUACACCCAUACACACAUAGAGUCCAUCUCCCAGCAGUAUGACAGCUGUGGUCAUGACCUCAGAUGCACAGAAGCGUUUCCUCAAAACAACCAAAAUCUGCUGCAGAGACAUGCAAAGUAGAAAAGAGGAAAAGAUGGAAAAAGUUCUCCAACUUCAACUCUUAACAAAAAACUUUCUAACUGCACCAAAACUCCCCUCCAAAGCCACAUGAUUGGACUUAAAUCUUGGUGUAUACAUAGUUUCAGGUGCUUCCGCAGACAGCCUCAAAAGGACUUCCAUAUCGGCUUCACUUCUCAAGACCAGAUGUUACCACUAAAUCAAAUGAAGGUCAGUUCAUGUUCUCACUUUAAACAAACUGUAUCUAAGUCCAAAGAUAAGUGGACCUGUUGUUUGGUCCACACCAGGGUUUGACUGACAGCUUUUAAACUCUGUGGAACAAGUGGAAUCACUAACAAUCAGAAGUAUAAUUUACCUCCUGUCACUGUAAUGGUUGCUGUAUAUAUGAUUUUACUGGGACAAUGAAGAAAUGAGGCAGCCGGUGCAGCUCAGAACUGUACAUGAUGCCUGUUUACUUUACAAAGAAACGCUGCCAUGCACAGGACGUGUCUUUACGUUGCCAUGGCGAUGGAUCUUUCCAUUUUCCGGUUGAGUGAGGAGGGCGUCCCAUACCCGCCCGUCUUGUUUAUACCCUCCCAUUUCAAUUGAGGCACACUCCACAGCUGCGAGUGUAACUUCAUUACGAGUGACACUCGGUAGUGAAGGGCGAGUGUGUAGGGGGCGGUUUGGGAUUGGGCCCAAGUCACCUUUUUUCACUCUUCCACUCUAUCGUGCUACAAACAGGAUAACGUGUGAAGUCCAUAGACAGACACAAUACCACCAGUUUCCUCUCUUUUUCCCACAGUCCAGAUUUCUAAGUUCAGUUUAUGACACCUCUGCUCACCUCUAGUUAAUUUGGCCAACAUUAAAUUCAUCAGCGGUAAAGGUCUUUUUCGUAACCAUGCGGUGUCAUGAUUUAAGUCUACAAGUAGAGAUUUUAAGCAGGAAAAUGUCAUGUAAGAUGUAUAAAUGAAAAUGGAUUAAUUCCUUGAUGAAAUAAGUUUAAAGUAGGGUAGAUGAUUCUGUCAGAUGGAGAGGCUUAUUUUCUGUAAAUCUGGUUUAAUCCAUUUUAAAGUAAGGUUGACAUUCUGAAUGUGAGGUUGGUUUCAGCACCAUGGACAGCGUUGUGGAUUGUUGACGACAGCAUAGUUGGUGACUAGUUGGUUGAAGCAGAAAUUCUUUGGACUAGAUCCAUAUAUUAAAGUUCAGAUUAACUAGAAAAUCUAAUUUCCAUAUUGCACACACAAUGCCCUGACCUCAACGGGACAUAUUCGGGUUUUUUUCCUUUUUUUUGAACGUGAAUAAUGAUGAAGGUUAUCUCAUCGCCCACUCACUGUUCAAAUUAGUGUCAGACAUUUUUCUUGACCUCUGACCUCUGUAGAGAGCCAGAGGGUUAGAUAUGAUCGCAAACUGUACACAUGUUUAUUUUCUGGCUCUUUUUUUUUCACCUGCAGGUCACAGAGUUCGAAUAUGCUGACCUGAAACAUAAAAACAUGAUAUAAUUUAGAAAGACUGACAGAUUCUAAAAAGCACCUCGAGGUAAUUCAGGAGGCUGGAGGUCAGAAAACAUGAUUCCUGAGUGCUUUAUCCUGACGCCUACAUGUAUGGCAUUGAUGUCAUCUAUUAAACAUGAAAGGCUUUCUGCACUGACAGGACUCAGAGAGGCUGCAAUCUGCUCUUUUAUUUGUGGGUUUGAGAGAUGACAGAGGGACAGAUCCACAAAAAAGGACUGAAUAGUGUUUUGUGCAAACCAAACCUUUGCAAAUAAGACAAAAAGAUUGAGAUGAAUUCACAGAGCGAGAGGUCAGGUCCUCAAACUGUGCUGCAGAGCAAAUUUAAUCUCCGAGCGCCAGUGUUGUUUGCAUUCAUCCAUAUGAGCCAUUAUGCAUUUUUUCAGAGUAAAAUAAGCCUUUUUAUGUGCAAAUGAACCGAGAAUGGCUUCAUGCUAUCAGAGUGAAUUAGCAAUGUCCAGACUGACCUGCUCUCUCUGUGUUUGCACGGUUUCUAAAGUCUGGCACACACUAAAAUAUGUUCAAAAUCUUCAUCAAUAGAGACUCCACACAUGGAAACAGAUGCUGAAGUCGUGAUUGAAUUUCAGCUCCUUCCCAGCGCUGCUAAUUAAGCAAACACUUGUGUUGGCGUCGAGUAUCAACAAGCAUUUGUUGCUUUUCCUUCUAGCGGCUGCUUGCUUUCUGAUCAGCUGUCGAGUUUUUCCUCAUGACAUUAGACAGAGUUCAUUGCCAAUCAUCCUCAUUGAUCCUCUCAUACUCAUGGAUUUGUGAUUGUAAAUAUUGAACAUAUUUAUGAUUUCAAAUCAGUGAAGAUUCAAUUGUUUUCUAUGCAGAUUUAAGGGAAAAGAAAUCCUUUCUGACCACGGGAUAAUCUGAGAAAAUUAUCAUCAAAUUUAUCUAAAAAUCAGGCUUUAGCUGACUUUUGUUCAAAAGGGGGAACAGUGCCGAUUUUGGGUAGUAUUCACAGACUGUAUAUAGAACGGACAGAGUCCGCCUCCUCGCUGGCUGAAAUCACUCCGAGAACAGCACCCUCUGGUGACAGGCUGCAGUAUAGGUUGUAAAUCCCGCCUCCGCCAGUCAUCCUUAUGGAGCUGUGGACAAACUUUAGAAAUUUAUUACACAGAAUAAAAUUUUUUCUCCCCCCGUGGUUGCGAUGUUGACAUGUAGUUACUGUAAGACUGGUUUGUGUUCAAGUCCUCUUUUUUCUGUGCAGCUCAAUUUUAAAAAGUUAUUAGGGGGUUCAUGUUUUCUAUGAUUGACACUUGAUACAGCCUAUAGGCGUACGAAGGUUGCGUAGCUCAUCGGGGGGAUUCGCUGUUUGAGCCGAGUGUCAUCACAGCGACUCUCGGCGACUCUCCCACCGAAUGCGUACAAUGCUACUGCACAAUGUUGGUUUCAGGAAAUGGAGAAAAAACGCGAUAUUAGCUUUUCGGCUUCGAUUCUGUAUACUGGUAGAAGGAAGAACCAAGUUGUCCAUAGUAUAAACAGUCUAUGGUACUACUCCUUUAUCUUGUACCUGCUUUAGUUCUCAUUUGACAUGGCUCCUUUUGUUCACUGUCAUCUUUUAUGUCCCGUGUUUUCCUAAUUUCUUUGCACGUUUUUUUAUUCCACAGCACUUUGAACAAAUCUGAAGUGACUCAGUUUGAAAAAGUCGAGUUACACUGAACUGUUACAGCAGACUUAACCACAAACACACUUGAAGAGGCAGCGAUUAGAAAUAAAACACUGAUACCUUUUGUUUUAAGGUCGGGAUAUGAAUAUAAAACCAGCAGUCAUCUCCUCUGUCAUGUCAGUCUAACAGGCUGUUAUUGUGCCGUUUAGCCGACAUUCGUGAAAUCUGACAUUAUGAACAGACAGGAGCUCUUGUAGUCUGAACUUUUACCACGGCAGCUGAAUAAUGAUGAGCACGAACAUCGAUCCAACCCACUGAGGAAAUGUUUGCCGCAUUUGAAUGCAAACCCACAACCUCAUGUAUGUUUCUCUCCUACUGUUGCUUCAUUUACACUUUAAUUCCUCCUCCUCUUCAUCACGGCACCUCUGUGUAUUUUCCACAGUUUCUUCUUCUCUUUGUGAAGUUGGUGUUGAGAUAAACUUGUGACAGCAGAAGAGAAGCAGUCAGAGCUGUCAGCACUCUUUUCUGUGUGUGUGUGUGUGUGUGUGUGUGUGUGUGUGUGUGUGUGUGUGUGUGUGUGUGUGUGUGUGUGUGUGUCAGACAGCAUGGUUCUGCUUCAAAGACCAUUUUGUGUCAAUGGGUGUGUCAUGACGGAUUUUUGUCAGCCCCCCUGUGGUGGUAUGAGACUUCCUGAGUGUGUAGCAAGCCAGGGUGUUAUCUGUGUGUGUGUGUGUUUGUGUGUGUGUGUGUGUGUGUGUGCGUGUGUGUGUGUGUGUGUGUGUGUGUGUGUGUGUGUGUGUGUGUGUGUGUGUGGGAGCUGACUCAGUUCCUCGGGGUAGAUCCCUGAAGCUCGGCUGUCAGACUGUGUUUUUCUUCGCUGGUCUUUUGUGCUCUUCUUCUUCUCUUACUGUACGUCUGCUUCUGUAAAUCUGUUCAAGAGGAGACGUCAUCCCAAACUUCAACGUUUGUCCUCCAAUUAUUCAAAGUUUUGAACUUCAAAAACUGCAGCUAUAAAACAGCUGAAGAAAUAUUUGCUGCAGGAUUCUAGUUAACUCUUUAAAAGUUGAGUUUAUGUCAUCAUCAGUGAGAAAAAUGAAGAAAUAUUGAGCACGAAAAGUCGACUUAUUGCAUAAUAAGAAGUAAAACGUGCUUCAUGAUGUUCAGAUAAUGACCCUGAAGUUAGUCUCGGCAUAAUCACACACCUGAACCUCGUACCUGGAUCACUGCAGGGGUUUCACACCAAUCAGCUCGGCUCUGCAGCUGCAGAUUUAAUGGUUUUACAAUCUCCAACCAGAAAUGAAGAACUAGCCUGGGACAUCUGCAGCUGAAGGGAGGAAAUGAGUGAUAGACUGAACAUUAUUUUAUCAUCUGAGAUCAGGGAGUUUAACUUUCUUCUUUUGUUCUGGAUUUGAAAACUUUUUCUUUUAAAUUGUAUCGUUUCAAACAAGGGUAGAGGUCAGAAACCUUUCUGUGAAAAGAGCCAAACUCCAGCCUUGAGACUGACACCACGCUCUCCGCUGUGCAGGAUCACCUCAUGUGAGUUCGCCACCAUUGAGGUUUCACUUGUUAGUAAUGUAUUUAAGUGUUCUUGUGUUACCAAAAUUUAAAAAAUCUCAACAGACUCUCGAGUUCUUAUACAUGUAAGUUUUAUAGGCACUUUUCAGCACUUAACUUUUUCAUCAGACAGUGUAACAUAUCCGUACUACUCUGCCUGCAGUUGUACCUUUGUUUUGUUGCACUACUAUCAUGAUCACUUUUUGUUUUAAGUAGCAGUUAAGGUCUUUUGCUAUCAACAGCUAGGUCUGACUCCGCCCCUCAGUUGCCGUAGCUAGCAGGAAUAUCAACUCAACAUGAUAAAAGCUGAUGGUACAAGAAAGAACUACACAGCUGCACAAAAACUGCACAUUGCUGAAUAUGUUGGAAAUCAUCACGCAAGAAGACAGUUUCAACAUUUUUACCUCUGAGAGAUCAUGAGAAAGAGAGUGCUGUCCCCAAGUGACUCGUAUUACAGAAUUUACGGUAAAUUUUGUACCUCAAAGAAGAGGCCAAUGCUCAGUGCUGCAACAGCAUUUUACUCAUGCAGAGUUAGCUUACUUAUGUAAUCCUGCUGAAAAGAAUUUUUUGUAUAAUUCAUAUUUGUCUUGAUUUUAUAAAAACUUUAUUUCAUCCUCAGUCUUUUACACUGCAGAAAAACUUCAUCAGCUGCAGCGAUCUGAGAGUCAAACAGGCAGAGAGCGGGUUGGAUAAAGGCAGAAAGUUAUUAUUAAAAUGUUGUUGGAUGAACCGUGUGUGUGUGUGUGUGUGUGUGUGUGUGUGUGUGUGUGUGUGUGUGUGUGUGUGUGUGUGUGUGUGCUGGACAACUCAGCAUUAAAUCUCAUUAGGAAGUGAGGAUGAGAGAGCUGGUCUGCUGCCCGAGGAGACACACACACACACACACACACACACACACACACACACACACACACACACACACACACACACACACACACACACACACACACACACUCUGAUCCAGCCAUGCACGAAUUAUACAGAGUUCAACACACUUAUACAUCCUGGCAUUCAGAUGCUGCAGGGGUCCAUUUAGAGUGAAACAUCCCAUAAUUAGGGUGUGUCCGUUUCCAUGGCGAUGAAUAAUACAGUGCUUUUGGUAAAGAAAUCAAUUCACGUAUGUAUCUGAAUGUCUACUACUCAGGGCAGAGUCAGAGAGCCAUUUUAAAGUGAAUUUGGUCAAUUUUGCUUCAUUUUUAUCAGUUUCACACUCGACUUUCUUUUACCUUUUAAUUAUUUUUUUUAAAAAAUCAUGUUUUUUUUUUAAACAAACUGCAAUUUGUUAUGGUGAGCAAAAAUUAGCAGUAAAUUGACAAACUAGAAAACUGUUCACAGAAUACAUUGGAAAAGAAAGAAAACAGUAGCUGUUAACCCUCAGCCAACUUUGUAUUCCGCUUCCUGUUUUACAUCUUUUGUUGGUUUGACACCAAAUUUCCUCAGCUGUUCAUGGUGUUCUCUGCCAAGUUUGAGUUGUAAUCUAGUCAGAGUCCAAAUAAAUGAAAAGAAAUGAGACUGAAGCCUUUUGAAGGAGAUUAAUGUCAGCAGGGGGAACACAAAGGGUGGCUUUGAGGUUCCCAAUGCCCACAAAUUUAAUCUUAAAAACCUUCAAUUCCUACCUAUUAAAACCCAAAGUGGCUUAACAAAUUAUGUAUUAUGUUUGCAUUCAUUCUCCCACAGCUGGUCAUUAUUCUAUUUUAAUUUCAAAGUAUGUUUACUAUCCCAAUCCCCUCAGGAGUAGGCCAGUGGUUUAUUCGUUAAGUUCUCACCAAAGUAGUCUGGGUCAAACUGAGUUUUUGGCGAUUCUGUCACAAUCCCUGCUGGGAACUUUUAUUUAACAUAAGACUGUCUUUUUGUGUUCUAGAUCCAAUUUUUGGACCCAGGAGAACAUCAUAAAAAGGGGCUUUUUUAACCCACGGUUUCUGUUAAUUUUAAGCAUCAUCCAGCCUACUUUGUCCCCAAACAGACAUGUAGAUAAGUACUCUUAAAAUAAUCAUUUUCUAACUUUCUUUUUUUACACUUUUCAACCCAUAGCUCUUAAACAACUUCAGCCCUGAUCAUUGAACAAAAUAAUAAAUAGAAAAUUCGAUGUAUUACCCUUGUUAUGCCAGUUUUUGUGCUCCAUGUCACUGCUAUUUUUAAUGGUAAAAAACACAAAAUCGCCAUCUUUCCCCUACAAAAUGACCUGGGUCAUUUUUUUAAUGAAAAGACUCUGGGCCAUGUCAAUGAUGAGAAGUCAAAACAGAUUUUGGUGCAUUUAAAUUCUUUUUGCAGUGCCAAUAUUUGGUAUUUGAAGCUCCAUCCAGCCUACUUUGUUCCCAAAACAGACAUGCAGAUACAUGCUCAUAAAAAGUAAUGAAUAAAAGAUUUUAUGUGUUACCCUUUUUAUGCCAGUUUUUGUGUGCCAUGUCAUAUUUAUUGAUAAAGUGUGGGUUCUAAACAGCUGAGUUUAUUGGAGCGGAGAAAACACGCCAAUUUUACUUCCCCUUUUUUUACAAAUGACAAAUGUCCUCAAAACGGAUCGUAGUAAGAACCGAGGGUUAAAAAAACAAACACAUACCAGUAAUUGGUGGAUUUGAAUUCCCUCAGUGGAUGGACUUUCUGGCUCCUUAAGCCGUGAUUGUGUCCUCUAGCUUUUCUUGUUUGAGCAUUAAAAAGCUACCAUAAAACUCAGCUAAAAAUCCUGCCACAGACAGCUAAAAAGACAACUGUAUGGCCUUGUAUGCAGAUGGUCGAGAUUAAAGUCUCAUUUGAGUCAGCAUUACCGGGCUCCUCAAACUAUUUUAUCCCAGAGCAGAAAAAGAAUUAAAUUCAACAAAGCUGCCUCUAAAAACCGAAGAGAAGGUCUUAAAGUCUGGACACACUGCUGAUUGUAGAGGAGGCCAGAAACAGGAGUUAUACUUUAGUUUUAUUGGCAAAUAAAAUUCAGAUUAAUGCCUCCUAUUUCAACAGCAUUAAACGGUUUAUUAAAUAAAGUUAUUUAUCGCCCGCUCACUUCAUUAUUCAUAAGUACAGGGAGAGAGAUAGGAAAAAGGGGCAGUCAUAAAACAACAAAAUAAAAGACUCAGACCAAGAAAUGGAAGUGAUGAAGUAUUACAGAGGAAUUCACUCAUGCAGGGCCUAAAUUCUGCUCAUACCUGCCUCUUCUUAUUAAACUCAUUUCUGAUAAUCCAUUUCAGUUUCUUUUUGUUGUAUUUCUUGUGGACUUUGACAUGUUUGCAGUGUGUGUCUCCUCAGGCCUUUGCAGGUUGUUUGGCCUUCUCAGCUGUCGAGAACAUUCAAAGAGUCAGUCAAAGUUAGCCGAGGCCGUCUCAAAAAGAAGUUUGAGUUUGUUUUGGUCAGGGUUAACAACUUCUCCUCACCAAAAAACAUAUCUUGACAAACUUCCCUGUGGAGUGAGAAAAUUUAAGAUAAACUUAAAAGUACUACAGUCUUGGAUAGAUGAUUGACAGAUGCACACUUUAUUGCAACAGACUGCGAAUACAUUAGGUGUGAGAGGAGUUUUAUAACUCUCUAAAUGAUCUCGUUUUAGAGUUGAGGUUUUUAUUUAUGCUUUAUAAAAUGCACAGACCAAAAUGAUGAAAUAUUAUUGACUUAGCUGUCAAGUGUUGUUGGUUUAACUGUAAGACUCAGGUAAAGUAACUUCAGUGAGCAGAUAUUGAUCAGACUUCAUAAGCAGCUCAAAAACAGCUGUGACUGGAGACCUGCAGCAGGUACAUUAACCUCUCAGGUCUUUCCUGCAUGGUUCUGCUUUCUUCUUCUUUCUUCUGCUUUCUUCUGCUUGGGCCUUUGAACCUUAAAGAGUUGGAUUUUCAGUCUGUACAUUUUUCUUGUGUUUUGCAUUUUGGUUAUGACAUUCCUUUUGGUCUCCAUUUGGGGUGCUUUUCUUUCAUCGAAUAUGCUACCAGUUUGUUAAAGUCUGCUUAGUGCUGCUGGGUCUAAAUAAAUGUUAAAGAGGAAAUCUCAGUGGUUCUCAUAGUACUGAGACAGCACAGCAAAUGAAUAUGUCACAAUCUGUAUUUAUUCAUCCGGUGUUUAAACACAGUGGACUGAUGACCGGUUAUCACCACCUACUGCUCUUGUGGGCUUAUGUGAGCAUUUCCAACCAUUUCGGUGUCGACAUGUAGACAGAAGGAUAUUCAGAAACACCUGUGGUGUGGACAGGAACUUGUGUCAGUCGAAAGCUUUGCCCGGUCUGUCCUCAAUAGGCAAAAAAAACAACAUUUGAACAGUUUGUUAAAGUCCCGCUCUGAUUUAUUUAUUUUUUACUACUUAAAGGGAUAUUUCGGUGUAAAAUUAAUUUAGGGUCAAACCCACAUAACAUCAAGUUAGACUCCCCAUCGAGAGAUGAAUGUUGCCGACCGCUUGUUUAAAUGCUAUUAAUGCUAAGAACAGCACCUAACUUUAUCAAAAGUACAUAUAGGGUCCUAGCCACAGCCUAUUUUCUUUAGCAAAGAGACUAAACACAACUCACCUACUUGCUCCCAGCAGCUGCUUGUUUGUAGGAGGACCUCGGGCCAGUCCAUUACAGACUGCAGCGGGGUGACGCAGCUCAAGAAAGAACAUCUAAGAUAAUUAAUUUAUGGAAAUGCAAUCAGACAAGACGCUAAGGAAGAAGAUCUACCGCGUCUGCUGUGCAAAAUGAUUAACAUGGUGAUUAUUACUUCAAGGAAAUGAUAACGGAAUGAUCAUAAAUGUUCUUCCUUGAGCCGAGUCCCCCCGCUGCAGUCUAUGAUGGACUCUGUGGGUCUCCGUGGGUCACUUUUUUUUCUCAUGAUAUGUCCUCUAGUAUCAGAAACAUGUAGACAACAAGAAAAACAUGAUUUUCAUCGGAGUGGGUCUUUGAAUGGAGGUCAGAUCCAUCAUGUCUGAUUCAUUCAAGGAAGUCAGUGAACCUUAUUGGCUUCAGGGAAAUAGCAAGAAGCAGAUUUGUGUCUCACAGUAAACAUUUGACCUAGAACACAUCAAUAGCUGACCUUGCAUGCAGAUGUUGUGAAUGGUUAAUUCAGCCCUUUUGGUGCCUUCCAGCAUACAGCAUAUGUGCUUUUUUGACAGGACAGCUUUAAUCCAUCCACCCAUCCAUUUUCUAUCGCUUUUUCUCGUUGGGGGUCGCGGGGGGGCUGGAGCCUAUCCCAGCAUCUUCGGGUGAAGGCAGAGGACACCCUGGACAAGUCGCCAGUUCAUCGCAGGGCUGACAUAUCGACGAAACUCCACACAGAAACGCCCUGACCCGGAUUCAAACCCAGGACCUUCUUGCUAUGAGGCGACAGUGCUACCAUAACACCGCUGUGCCACUCCGGACAGCUUUAAUGUGGAUGGAUUUUCCCUCUUUUACUGUGACUACCUUUGUGUUUAAGAAGUUUGACUGUAAAGAUCAAACGUAAAAACAAUCUUAAUAAACAUUUAAACCCAUAAACAUCUUUAAAUAUGCAGCGAGAAGAGCCAAACAGCAGCCAAACAUCGUCAACCUCAGGAUGAAUAGGUUUGAAAUGAGUGAGUGUAAAUAACCUUGGCUGAGCUGUAUUUGGCUAACGAAGGACUGUCGUGAGUACAAACAGUCCAAAGAUAAAGCCGAGAUCACACACACACACACUUACUCACACAAACACACACUCACUUCUCUCUGUUGGUGGUUUGAUAUCGAUCGGCUCUCUGCUCUGUGUUUGAUGGAGGAUUUAUGGCGGAGCGGAGCAGACAGGCAGGAUGGAGUUAUUUUAGAUGAGGCUUUAUUUAACAAGGUUAGUCCCACCGGAGUGGAAGUCACAGCGAGAGAGAGAGUCAAAGAGAGAGGUUGGCCACUGGGGGUCGGAGGUCGUCACGCAGCGCUGAACGUCUUGACUUGAAAGCAGCAGAACAGACGGAGAGAGGGGCUGAAGAGGCUGUUACGCUCAACAGGUUCAAUUUAUUUCUGUUCCGUCGGUGACACAGGUCGCCUCUCGAGCCAACACACAUUUUCUCUGAUCAACAACUCAAAAUGAAGACAUCCUAAUAGUGGAAGUACUUUUCUCAAAAGCAAAUAUUUCUAUCUUUGUACUGAGGUUAUUUACAGCUUCACUAUCUCAGGUGCUUUCUACGAAGAAGAGCUUCAGUGUUGUCGGGAUGGUUUUAAGGUUUAUUCAGAGAGUUUAUCCUUGUCUGAUUUACUGUCAGGAUAUCAUAUAAUGUUAAAAUUUAACAGGAAGAAGUUGAAGUUAUUGAUUUCAUUAUUGACCCUGUUGAUUGAUCUAGUUCUUAAAUGAUCUACUUUUCCAUCCCUGUGGUUAUUCUGUGUGGAAAAACAAGCUGAAACAGAUUUUUCACAAAUUUCACCACCAGAGUUAUUACCUUCACUAUCAAUCAAUCAAUCAAACUUUAUUUUUAAAGCACUUUUCAUACAUACAAUGUAGCACAAAGUGCUGUCCAUUCAAGCAGGAUAUUAAAAACAAUGAAAUAAAAUAAACAAAAAUACAAAUACCAAACCACACCCACCCUCCCAGACCCCGUUCAACACAUACAGCACUCACACACACAGAUGCAUACGCAAAAGACCAGGACUCUUCAACUUGCCACAGAUGACUGAGGAAACGUUAUCUUGAGUUAAAAGAAAUAAGGAAACACUGGAUCCAGGACUAAAACGAUAAAGCCAUAAUAAAAUAUAAUAAAGGUGAUAAAGCAUUAAAGGUUCAUUAAAUAAAACAGUUAAAGAAUCAAACAAUAAAAGAAAGUAAAUUAAAAAAGAGGUAAUAAAACACAAAAUUGUUACUCUACAACUAAAAUAGAGUAAAAUCACAUAAUGCAGAUAAAAAGAUCCAAACAAAAUGUAACUAAAAGCCAGACUAAAAAAAGUAGGUCUUGAGUUUACUUUUAAAGAUAUGAACAGUAGGUGUCGCUCUCAGGUCUGCAGGUAGGCUGUUCCACAGAUGGGGACCGUAAUGUUGGAAUAAUGAUUCACCGUAUGUUCUAGUUUUUACUUUGGGAACAAUUAAAACAUCACUACCCGAAGACCUGAGGGCUCUACUAGGUUCAUGCGGUAAAAGCAAAUAGACAAAUAAGAAGGACCAAGACCAUUAAGAGCUUUAAAAAGAACCUUAAAAUCUUCUCUAAAAGACACAGGUAGCCAAUGACACACUACACUGCUAAGACAGGUAACUCUGGCUUCUGAUUGGGCAUUUAAAGGUCAGCUGAUUGUAGAUACAGCCUCCUAUUGGUUUACAAGCCAUACAAAGAUGGCAGCCUACUGUCAGCAUAGUUAGCAGACCAAGUUCUUACCUCCAACUUUGACUGAUUGGAUUUGGAGACCAGAAAGCUGCCGGUCUCACAAAGUGAGUUUAUUUUACAUUAAGUCGCUUCCACUGUCUGAUGUUUGCUAGCAUAACAAUAUUUAGCUGUUUAAGAUUGUUUUGGACCAAUCCUGUCUCCUCUCUGCCAUGAUUAUGUCCCUGAUUUUCAUUUGUGUUGACAGUCUCUCCAAAUAAAUCACUUUAUCUAGUUACCAUGAUUGUCAGCCUUCAAAAACCAGUGCAGUGGUUCUUUGCCUUGAAGUAACAGUUUUAUUUAAUGGGCCUGUUUGGCUCUUAUGUGGUCAUAAAUAGCAUUUAAAUGGUGCACAUUUACUUAACAAAAAUAUGUAAACAGCUGUGCUCUUUAUAUCCAAAACCUACUUUUCCCAGAAGUUCCCACACCAAAUUAGAUGAAAGAGUCGCUACAUCUGCUUCUCCUUCUGCCAGGGAGCGUCAACAAUUACAUUAAAAAGGAGAUAAUUUCAUUUCUCUCUCUGUGAAUUCAAACUAUCGCCUCAGAGUCGGCGACAUCAACGUCCCUGUGAGGCUGUUUUCAGAUACAAGAGAGUGAGUGAGAAUAAUACAGGCCUGAGCACAAAACAAGGUGUAAGGAUCUUUCUUUCUUUCUUUCUUUCUUUCUUUCUUUCUUUCUUUACCCUUUUGUUUUUGGUAAUUUCCACUAAACUUUCCUUGGAUGUUCUACGGAAAACAACUUUAUACAAGACAUUUUUAGGCGUACAUAAACCUUCCUCCUGUGUUUGCUUUUACUACACACCCACUAUGUUAAGGGUCGGUUUUGACCCGUGUCUUAAAUCAGCAGUAAAUUACACUAAAAACAAUUCUCUAUCGAUGCUUAUAUUUGUUGUCAUGGUCCUCUAGGCCUUUCUUUGUCAGUAUACCCCUCACACAGACGUCUAUACUGAAUUGAUCUCACAUGUCUAGAUAUGCCCCACAUUGUUUUUUGUGCAGGGAAAAACAGGCAAAAUGAGAAUUUCCUAAGUCUCACAUGAUUGGAGGAGGAUCUGACUGUCAGUGUGUUGCCUGGCAGUGCACUUAUUAUUUCAGUUUUUGCUCUAAUUAUUAGAUAUUAAUCUAACCAGGUCAACAGCAACCCUAACUUGACAAGUGCCAUAAUUUUAAUAAGAGCAUUUUAUAAUUUAGUCAAUUUAUUUUUUUAUUUUUUUGUUUUGUUGAUAUAAAGUUUCCUGACAAAGUCAAAAGGUCUUGAUGCAAAAAAUCUAAUUUAAGUGGUUCUUUUAAGCAUUUAAAAAUGAAAGCAGGGUUGAAUAUCUCUCUCUUCUCUGAUCCACACUGAUCCACAGGGAAACAUGUCAUUUCGCUGCUAGAGGAGGGAUAAUUGAACCAUCUGUGGAGAUCUAGGUCUUCAUGGGUCAGCUGAGUUUGAACCGAGGCUAUUCCCACAGUUUUUACAGUCUUGUGUGUUCUACUUUUACCUACAUUUUAAAGAUACAUCUCAGCCAGCUUCUACACAGUCUUUAGAGUGAGAGGAGUCUAAGUCUCAGAGGGCAGAAAGUUGUACUGACUUCACAUACAGAGGAUGAUGAAUAUGCAUGAACGUGAUUUCAGACCUGACUCCAUGAAGAUGUUCAGAGUGUGACAGUUGGCAGAGAAUUUAAAUUAUGAGUUUCACUUUUGUUCUCUAAAGUGCUUCUUCUGUAGUCCUGAUAAAUCCCUCUAUCAUUAUACAGUGUUGUUUUAAUCAUUAAAAUCUAAUUACACUGCAGCAGCUAUCCCACAAGACAUCACCCUAUCACGGUAAUAUACAUCAAAUUAAAUAGUUGAGCAAAAUGUGUCUAAAACUAUAAGUAUGCAACGUGAAAUUUCGUCCAUACUGUAUAUAGUAUGCACUCAAAAUCAAUUAAACAUACUCUGCAAACUUUCAAGGACUGAAAAGAUGGAUGGUAUGUCUCCACCUCAAACUAAGCCAAAAUAUGUCCAUGGUGCCAGUGGUAUUAAAAGCCUGAGUCUGUUUAGUAAGGAUUAGCUUGAGGAGUUACAAUUUUGACAUCCUGCCUAUUCUGAUUUUACUUAAAAAUAAGAUUUUACCAAUAAAAUAACAAAUACAGUCCACAGAUGAACGGGUGUUGAUUUGAAAAAUAGUAAAAGGGGGAGAAAGGCAGAAACAAUGGGAAGAAAGGACAGAAAAAAGAGUAACAAAGAGAAGGGGAAAGGAAAGGAGAAAGGGAAAAAAGUAAAGAAAGGAAACGAGGAGAGAAAGUCAGAAAGGAAAGAUGAAAAACAAGGAAAGGAACAAGGUAGAAGGAUAAGAAAGGUAGAAGUAAAAGAAAAGGAAGGAAAAGGACAUGAAGAGAAGAAGAAGAUGAGAGAAACUAGGGCAGGAAAGAAAGAAAAAAAAAACAAGGAAUAAGUAGAAAGGAAGAAGGGAAGGACAGAAAGAGAAGGGGAAAGAAGGGAUGAGGAACAAGGAAGAGAAGGAGGAUGGAAAGGGAACUUUGGAAGGAAAGACAAGACAAAAGGGAGAAAAGACGAGCAAAAGAGGAACAGAAAACAACGUGAAGAAGAAGAAGGAAAGAAAAAAGAAAGGAAAGGUAGAGACUAAUAGGAUAAAAGGAACAGAAAGGUAGAGAUGAAGGGGAACAAGGAAAGGAGCAGUGAAGAGAAAGGAAAGUAAGAAAGAAAAAACAGAAAGGAAAGGAAGGGUAGAAAAGAGGGAAAGGAAGGGUAGAAAAGAGGAAAAGGAACAGAAAGGUAGAAAAGAAGGAAAGGGGAGGAAGGGUAGGAAAGGAGAAGAAGGAUAGAAAAGGAAAGGAGAGGAAGGGUAGAAAAGAAGGAAAGGUAGAAAAUAGGGAAAGGUAAGGAAAGGUAGAAAAGUAGGAAAGGAGAAGAAAGGUAGAAAAAAGGAAAGGAGAAGAAGGAUAAAAAAAAUGGAAAGGAGAGGAAAGGUAGAAAAGAGGGAAAGGAGAGGAAGGGUAGAAAAGACAGAAAGGAGAGGAAGGGUAAAAACAAAGGAAAGGAAAUGAAAGGAAGUGCAGAGAAGAAUGAACUGUAAGGAAAGUUGAAGGAAUGGAAGGAAGUGUUAUUCACGGUGUUGCAGCUGUCGGUGUCUAAUUCCUGGAGUGGGUUAUGAGCUAACUUUACAGCCUCUCUCCUUCCCUCAUUAUAAAUUCCUCUGGCAGCCUCGGCGUUUGUUAAUAUUUGUGUUUGUGUUGGAGAGGAAGCGCUGCCAGAAAAAUUAAUGUGAGCUUUUGUAUGCAGUGUGUGUGUUUGUGUGUGUGCGUGAGUGAAUUUGUGUGUUUGUGAGCGAGCGUGUGAGCGUCAAGUGUGGGUGUGCGUCUCUAGGGAGGAAGCGUCACCUUUAGCACCCGUGGUGGAAGCUGACAAGUCAUUAGCAGGACAAACACACACACACCAACACACAAAAAGUGCACACACAAAUACACUUUUACCGCCAGCGGGGUCAAAAGGGGUCAGAGAGAGUGACACAAUAAUAAGUCUUUGUCAGUCUGAUCAAUGACUACACACACACACACAGUGAAAAUAAACACACAAACACACACACUGAAUACCAACAAAUGGACACACACAGUGAAUUCUAAUUAGCCGAUGGGCUAAACGAAGCAAUGAUCCCAUUUACUGCUCACAAUACAGAGUUUAACUUUCUCUCUCUCUCUCUCUCUCUCUCUCUCUCUCUCUCUCUCAUGUUAACAAGUUUGUUUUUCCAAGCACUGACUCAUUUAUCAGGACGAAGAGAGCGCAAACAUGAAUUAAUCAACUUCUGUUUGUUUCAGCACAAUUAGUGAUCAAAUCAAUUUCUGCCUUCAAACGAUGGAAGGAAGAGGGAAAGAGGGAAGAAAGAGGGAGGGAAAGUAUUUGAAAAAUUAGAGACUUGGAGGAGGGAAAGGGCGUAGAGUGAUGGAGGGAACAAUAAAGGAGAAAAUGAGAAGAAAAUACGAGUAAAACAGCGGUGAUGAGGAUUUAUGUCGAGCAAGAAAGGAGGAAAGAGGAGGAGGGUGAUAAAAAAUGAGGGGAACAUUCAUCAGUGACAGAAAGAGAAAACAUGCAAAAAGAAAGAAGAGGAUACGCAUCUUUCAUGUGUGCACUCCGGAAGUUUACCCAAAUUUGUCCAGAGUUGUUCUUUCCUCCUUAGACUCAUCUCCUGAGUCUAAACUAGAGAAAUAUGGCAGCAAAAUCAAGCUGCAGGAGCCUCAGUGUAACACCAGGUUAUUCAGAUUGGUGAGACUCAUGAAAAAAACAAUUGAGCAGCAAAGUGUGCAUGACAGAAGCUUGGGAGUGAGCCAUCUCACUCCAUCCCUAUCUUUGUUCAAGCUGCACAGGCACAGCCCAGUCUCGGUCAACAGUCUCUGCAUUCAAGGAAUAUUCCAAGCAAGUGGUCGGCAACAUUCAUCUAUUGAAGAGGUGUCUAACUCGGUGUUACUGUGUGCUUGACCCUGAAUCAAUUUUAUGCCUGAACAUCCCUUUAACUGAAUAUCCCUUGUGUGAACUGUGAGUACACACAGCUUAUAUGGAGCUCAUAUCAUAAAGAAGUGCCCUCCGUGUCUAAAACUUUAAUCCUAGUAUUUUGCUUUUUUUUUUUUUUUUGUAUUUUAAAAACAAACUUACUUAAAAUGUUGGGUGUCAGAACUAUACAUGAGCCAAGUUUCAGAUUUCAAAGUUAAUGUGUGUUAAAGUGAUCCCCAGAUGGGAUUACAGGAUGCUCUGAAUGGCUUGUUCCAAAAGUCAUGAGAUUUCAGUGACAAAAAUAAUUUUUCAGUUACCUCGGAUGUCGGAGCUGGGAAUGAGUUGACAGCAUUACAGUUAAAAAGUUAACAAGUCGGAAAACCAAGAUGGAUGCCUACAGUUACCCGUUGUUAGCUGUUGUUUUCAAUUGUCAGCUGUCGUUUGCCAUUGUCAGCUGUUGUUAGCCAUUGUUAGCGAAACCAGUUGUAAACAACGCACAUUAGAGUAUUUUACUCUUACAAAGACCAUAGCACUGUGUUCACAGUUUGACGUUGGGCAGCACAUCAUAUACCACUUAUUUAAUUUCACAAAAACAAAAUGAAUUGAAUUAUUACGUUGUCUUCAAGUCAGGGUUGGUGAGGAUCGUCCGAUUAUCCGUGUUGGAAAUCCGACUAAAGGGGGGAGUUCCAGAUGAAUUUCCAACUCUGAGCUUGGAAAUCAGAAUUUCAAAGGACAACUGGAAUGCAGCAUGAAAGAUUCGCUCAGAUCAUGACAUAAGCAGACAGUAAAUCUCCUUGGAAGGGCAAAUUUGUCACUUUAUAAAAACACAAUUGUGUUUCAUGGCAACAGUUAAGCGUCUCAGACUGAGGCAGAAACAGGGGGAACUGAUCACCCUAUAGGUUUAGAUGCUGCUGAGAACUGAGGCAUGGCAUUUUAUUACGGACACUACUGUAGCACCCUUAACUCAGGUUGUUUUCACACACAAUAGUCUCAAAACAGCUGCAUUAUUGCUCAUUGAUGAAGCCUGGUUUGCUUUCAAACCGCACUGGCCAAGUGAAACAAACCUCACGCGGUUAUGACGGCUGCCCAUUUGUGGCGGCAUUGUCCCAAACAAACACUUAUGUAGGAAAAAAGACAGAGAGAAAAAUGGAAAUCCAUCCCAAUUUGCCAGAAAGUGAACUGAGACCCACAUUUCAAGCAGAGCAGAAAGAAACGAACUGGACUGUCCAGGAGAAUGGACCAGGGUUCAUUUAAAGUGGACCGAACAGCUCUGGAGUGAAUACAACCUUAAAAAAAACAUGGCGCUCUUCUCUGUAAACUUAAUGCCUCCUGCUGGACUGUGUGCACCAAACCAUCAGAGUAGAUUCUGUAGCUCCACCAGCUGGAUCACUGUCAUGGCAGUAUUUUAGCUUCACCAUUUUUAAAACUGAAGGAGAUGGAGGUAUGACAUUCAUUUAUUCAAGUUUUAGACUGAUGGUGUCAAAAGGACUGUAAGUGCUGGAAAUACUUAAAUGCAGUCUCAGGAGAGACUGAAGAAAUAGGGAAAGAAAGAGGAAAGGAAAGAACAUUGGAAACAAACUCGAAAGGAAAUGGAAAGAUGACAGAAGAAGCAAGAAAGAAAGAAUGAAAAAGGAGAGCAGACUUAGGGACUGUAAAAUAAGGAAAGAGUAAAAGAGGACUGAUAAGGGAAGGAAAGGAGCAAGGAAACAGAGAAGGAGGGAUGAAAGGAGGAUUGAUGAGUGCAGUUUUGGUCUGGACGUCUGAUUAGCAUUUAGCUGACUAAACUGAACUCUGCUGCUUCAUCACUGUUUCUGUUUCUGUUUACACACUAAAACACACACACACUAUAAAACACACACACACAGUGAAGUUAGACCAGCAUUAAUAACCUGGAUGACUCAAUGUUUUCAAAGUAAGAGCCAAAUUUCUCAGCUGGAAAAGGUCUCACGGUUUAAAUGACAAACAACCAAAACAGUUUUUUUUUUCUUUUUCUGUCUGCUGUUUGUUUUUAUGAAGAUAGAAAAUAGUCCAUAACUUAUUUUCCUCUCUUUAUUUUUGUGGCAAGUUAAAAAAAAAAAAAACUGAAAGGAACAUUUCAUCAACCGGAGACAGUCUUUGCUAAGCUGACAGUCUGUUGUCUGCAGGAUAAAUAUCAGUACAAUAAAGUAUCAUAAAACAAUAGUUUUAAUUACUUUAUUAUUAAGAUGAGACUUAUUUGAGAUAAAAAAAUAAACAAUGAGUUGUUUUCCUUUGUCUAUUAGCAAUCCUAUGUGCCUGUGAGGAAGACAAAUGGUGGAAUGUUUCCACGGUUUGAGAAGAACAGAAAGAAAAGACAAUUAAGGGUAAUUAAAGGUGGGGUAGGCAGGAUUCCAUUUACAAAAAGGCUUUUAAUAUCAGUCAAUAGGGAUUAGUUAUUGAUGACAUUUGGUAAUAUAACGAUAUCGCUGUGUUUUGUUAUGUCUGUGUAGUCAACAUUUUAGAUUUUUUAAGCGGCCUGCUCUUUCUGACUGUAAACAAAGGCGUUCUCCGCCUCCCCCAACCUGAUUGGUUGUGAGGCGGAUGCUGCUAACAAAGUUAGCAUGCCACAACUUCGAACAAUAGAAACCAACAAGAAAGAACGGAGAACACAAGCAAAAAAAAAGUAAUUACCAGAGAAUCUGGCGGAAUAACUUAAAACAGGCACUUAAAACAGAGGUAGACGGACAAGAGCUAGGAAGCCAGGUCAAAAUCUGCGUAAACGAUGGGGGAUGCUUACAGACCCUGUAACCUUUCUGCUGGACAGGUAAAUAGCUUUAACAAAGUAAGCCGAGUGUCUCUAACAGAAGUGUUUCUUGUCAAACGGGACCUGCUGUGUGUUGCAGCGCCACUAAACUGUUUACCUCGGGUCCUGGAGUAUGUCACUUUCUCCCAGAAAGGAAAGAGAAGGUCCUUAAGUUUGAACUAAAUGGAUCUCAUUUAUGAAACGUUACAAAAUCUGUGUAGAUUCAGAGUGGCACUGUAAGUGCUCUCUGUAACAAUCCGAGUCUGUGCGUGGGCUUCAUUUUAAACCAUCUGCCACUGUGUUUGAUGGGUCUGUGGCUUACAUGGUUAACUCUGUCCCCUACGGAUAAAUACUGUAGUUUGUCCUUUACAUUAGACAUAUGUAAAGAGCCACAGGGUGUAACUAGAUACAUGGAUAUUUGUGACAACCUUACAAUGAGACUCAAUGAAUCUAUUCAGUCAUGCACCACGUUUUGACCUGUGAACCUUGUUGUCACUUGAAUUGAGGUGCAGUUGUACAUGUUAUGAACUGGAUUUAGUGCAUUAGUCUGACUUAAAAUGGGUUUUCAAAAUACAUGUCAACGUUACAGUCCCUCUAAAAUCACACCCAAUACAACUUUUCAUAAUUGGACCAACAAUAUCUAGAUAUGUCUUUCUAGAAUUCAACAAAUCAGGCAUUUUAACAUGGAGCCAAAUGGAGACUGAGUAACAUUCAGAAAGAGCUCUAGAGGACACUUGAGGAACUACAUAUUUGCGCAUCUGUGUUAUCGGUUUUCAGUUCUAGUGAAAAAGUCAACAAGUGAUUUUUUUUUUUUUAAUUAUAUGAUAUGAUAUUUCUUAAAAUGUAACAAUUUAUUAGGAUUAAAUUCAAGCAAUAAAUCAGUGUGAAGCCUAAUGGACCUAAAACAGGAAAAAUUUACAUGUUUUCAUUAAGGUGAUAUUUAUCUUUAUUUAUUUAUUUAUCUAUUUUGUUUUCAUUCCUUUGUCUCAAUCUGGACACAUAUUUAACUCUUUGUUGGUGCAGCACCUGUCUUCAGGCUCUCAGGGCACUGACAUGGUGGUUAAUAAUUGAUCAUCCUUCCUGCCGUAGUGUGUAAUGACCUUUACAGUCCCUAGGGGGCUCCUGCAUCACUCCAGCAGCUGUAAUCAGGUUUAAAUGUUAUUUCUGCAGCUUUCCUCUCCGGCUGUGACUCUAUUAAACCUGAUUUUCACAUUUCUUGUCCAUUCAUCUCUGAUCACAUCACACUGCUCUGCAUCUGCCGCGGCCAUUUUUAUGUGUUUUUAUUGUUUUUAUUGUGUUUUCAUCGUAAAAACGUUUCUGCAAAACAAAUCCUCCUCAUGGGACAAUAAAGUUUUGAAUCGAAUCAGAGGUUUUUAUUCUGCAGAAGCUGCCGCAGAAACACGCCAGCCAACAAUAACUCCUAAUAGAUUUAUAUGGCUAUAGGAGCCGGGCCAGGCCGUGGGUGUGUGAGUGUGUGUGUUACUGUAGCAGUGAGUUUCUCACUGUGAACCUCGGCUGAAUAUAAACGACUCAAAAUCCAAUACUGAUCCGUCUCCCUCACACUCACACACUCACUCUCUCUCUCUCUGCAGUAGUGACCAGUCCUUCAGUAAAGCUGCAUUAACUCUUCCUCCUCAUUCUGCAGGAUUGUCUCAGUUUCAGACAUAAACCCUCUGAUCGUCUCCUGAUCGCCCGAUUGGCUGAAAAUAUUAACUUUAUGGCCCCUUUUUUUAAUUUAAGUCCCAUAAUAUCCUCCCGCUGAAGAAGUUAAUAAAAAAGCUGUUUCUACUCUGUAAAAAUGGGAGGAAAAUUUAUCUUCACCUGCUGUUGAACCACUUCAACAUGUUUUCAUAGAUUAUGACAUGAAACAUUGCACCUAAUUGUAUUGUUAAUUUUGUUAACGAAAACACUGACUAUUGCUGCGUUCCAGUUACCUCAGAAGUCGGAUGUCGGAGCUGGGAUUGACGUUACACCUGAGUUAACGGCAUUCCAGAUAACAAGUCAGAAAACCAAGAUGGACGCCUACGGUUACGCAUUGUUAGCUGUUGUUUACAAUUGUCAGCUGUCGUUGGCCGUUGUCAGUUGCUGUUAGCCGUUGUCAGUUGUUGUUAGCCAUUGUCAGUUGUUGCUAGCGAUUGUCAGUGGUUGUUAGUUGUUGUUAGCGGUUGUCAGCUGUUGUUGGCUGUUGUCAGUUGUCAGUUGUUGUUAGCCGUUAGCAGUUGUUGUUAGCGAUUGUCAGUGGUUGUUAGUUGUUGUUAGAGGUUGUCAGCUGUUGUUGGCUGUUGUCAGUUGUUGUUAGCCGUUAGCAGUUGUUGUUAGCGAUUGUCAGUGGUUGUUAGUUGUUGUUAGAGGUUGUCAGCUGUCGUUGGCUGUUGUCAGUUGUUGUUAGUUGUUGUUAGUUGUAAACAACGCAUAACACAGUAUUUUACUCUUACAAACACCACAGCACCGUGUUCACAGUCACACGUAGGGCAGUACAACAUAUACCACUUAUUUAAUUUCACAAAAACAAAACAGAAAUGCUAAUAACAAAAACAUUACAAGAGCUUUCACUGUUACUCUUUACUGUUGAUGCACUGUGCUGCCAUCUUGAAUUAUGACAUUGUCGUCAAAUGGGGGUUGACGAAGAUCGGCCGACUUUCCGAGUCAGAAAUCAAACAUCAGGGGACUUCCAGAUGAUUUUUCAACUUGGAGCUCGGAAAUCCCGAUAUCCAAGUACAACUGGAACGCAGCAUAUAACUGUUCAUUGCUGUGUUAAUUUCUCAUGACUAAAAGACGACCAUGACGCAAAUUGAAAACGCAAAUUGUGACUAAGAUCCUGAUUAUCAACUUUCAGGCGAAUUAUAACUAGAUGAUAGAGUCAGCUUUGUGCUGGCAGACAACCAGUAACACCCCUGUGUGUUUGUCAUGUUAAACCAAUCUUUUAUCUGUGACAAGCGCGCCUGUGCCUAUUCUCACCACCUUUAGUUCAUCUUUUUCACUCUCGCCGGAGGAUAUUCCAACAAAUGUCAGUAAGAAGUCAGUUUACAGUCUCUAGUUGGAGGCCAAAACCAGCAAGCUAUCAGCGAUCCUAUCAAAAGCUGAACAGAAGUCAUGCUGCAGCUGGUGUCACAAUAAAAGAGCCUUAUUACAACCUGCAGACUGAGGCAGGAGACAAGCUGAGGACUCAUUUUUAAAGACAGGACUGAUGAUAUCGACCCUGAUUAGACCAGAGUGCCGUGUGAAAAAAUGGCAGGUUUGGGAAAAUGAAGGCCUUCUUUGUGGUAUUGGGUUUCUUUUGAUUUGCACCUCAAAGUCCACAUCCACCACCUUCCAAAACCGGAUUUCUUUCUUCACCAAAACUAAGAUAUGUUGUUCUGAGCUGUGACUUCAGUCUGCUUGUAGACCCAAGGUUGUUAUCAUUGAUGAAAACAAACUAAACUCAUUGAGCUUUAACUUUCCUUUGCGUUUAACGUUGCUCAUGUGCUUUUGCUGUUGUUGGUACUCCACUUUUUUUCACUUGAACCCUUAAAAAAUGUAUCCAACAACUUAUUUUUACUUUCUUGUUUAAUCUACCGGAUAAAAAUAAUAUCAUUUCGAGGCUCCCUGUCUUUCUACAAACCUUGAUUCAUCUGUGAAAGGAACUUGGAGGAUGAAAAAGCUCCUCAUGCAGAUCAAACCCUCAGAGAUCCACUUCACAACACGAGGAUGUCACUGAGGUUGAGAUCUGAAUAACAGCAGGAGGAGAAAGUCGUGACACAGCGACAUGUUUCAUCCUGAGGAGCUCUGUGGUGUUAAGAAGUGCUCCGACUGAAGUGAAGGAGCAUGAAAGGUCAUUGAGAGGAAGCAAAAAGGGAUUUGUCAGGAGGUGGGAUGUGAGUUUGGAAAAUUUUUACAAUCUGCUGCAGUCCUAAAACGGUUCAAAUCAGGCUUGAUGUUCUGAAAUGGGAAGUGUGGAAACUUUUUAUCUUUAAUCUUAAGUAGGACUUUUUUCUGCCAAACACAAAAAAACACAUACUUAUCAACACUUCUGUGCAUGUGCCAGUGCUGGCUGACUUACUAUUUUUCAACUCAAGAGCUUUAAACUAAGAUGUUUUUGUCAUCUGACAAUUUUUUCUUAGUAGAUGAAAAAAUAAAUAAAACAUCAACAUUUGACUAAGAUUAAAGAUAAUUGGGCUCCUUAGCUACAAAUUUUCAUGAUUUUGGAAUUUAAUUUCCACACAAUAUCAACAGGGAGAUAUAUAUUAUUUUUCAAUUAAUCAUGAAAAUGUGAAUAAUAAAAAAAAGUAUAGGAUCCAAUACUGCAACGUCUUUUUAGUUGAUUAUUUUCUUUAAACAAUAUGUUGACUAAUUCUAUUAAUCUAUCAAUCAAUCAAUUAAUCAAUCAAUCAAACUUUAUUUUUAAAGCACUUUUCAGAUAUCGAAUGUAGCACAAAGUGCUGUCCAUUCACGCAGGAUAUUAAAAAACAAUGAAAUAAAAUAAAUAAAAAUACAUGACUGAGGAAACGCUAUCUUGAGUUAAAAAAGAUGAGGAAACAAUGGAUCUCGGACUAAAGCAUUAAAACCAUGAUAAAAAAUGAUAAAGGUGAUAAAAUGUGAAAAGUUAAUUAAAUAAAAGUCUUAAAAUCAAACAAUAAAAUAAAGCAAAUUUAAAAGAGAGGUAAUAAAACACAAAAUAAUUACUGUAGGACUAAAUUAGUGUAAAAUCACAUAAUGCAGAUUAAAAGAUUAAAACAAAAUUCAGCUAAAAGCCAGACUCAAAAGAUUGGUCUUUAUCUAUCUAUCUAUCUGUCUGUCUGUCUGUCUGUCUGUCUGUCUGUCUGUAUGUCUCUCAGUCUGUCUGUCUCUCUCUCAGUCUGUCUGUCUGUCUGUCGAAUCUGUCAUCUCUCUCAGUGUCUGUGUUCAUUUCUCUCCUAAAUGGCCUGCAGAGAUGGAUUUUUAUCUCCUCCAUCCAUCAUUUUUUCACAGAGAUGUAACCUGAAGAAACGGCCCACGCCUCCACCACUGAACUCAGUGUGUGUGUGUGUGUGUGUGUGUGUGUGUGUGUGUGUGUGUGUGUGUGUGUGUGUGUGUGUGUAUGUGAGAGAGAGUCUGUGGGUGGGCGUGUGUGUGUGUGUGUGUGUGCGCACUUGCACAAGCGGGGAUAUGUAAUAGAGGUUAAGCAUAAAGGCAUUGUGACUUUGUCAGCCCGGAGGAAAGAUAGAAGUGUGUGUGUGUGUGUGUGUGUGUGUGUGUGUGUGUGUGUGUGUGUGUGUGUGAAUAACUACAUUUUCACCUCUGUGUGGAAACGUCCCUGAACAUUAAUAUAUUCUUCUCUUCGUUUUUUUUUUUACGCUUCAAAUCGUCAAGGUUGCUCAGAAAUCCUCCAGGUGACCUCUGUUUGUGUUCAGAUGUUGCUCCUUAAUGUGUCUCUUUUUUCCAACUGCAGGACUGAGCAACUUGAAGGUUGCUGUGUUACAGUAAACAAUGUUGUGUUUACAGUGUUUGGAUUAACAGAGUACACGGCGAGUUGACCUGAGUCGAUCUGACCCGAGGUGAACUGGUUUCAUCAACACCAGAUGCUGACAAAAAGAGAAAAUUACACAUAGAUAGAAACCUCUCUGGCUGAAAUAAAUCACAUUACCCAGGUUAUCAACCAAUUUUGGAUAAUAUAAAGCAUGGUAGCCUCCACAUGAAUAGAGGCUAUAGCGUUUAUUCCAGCCUCCACUGGAAACAGCAAUGACCCUUUACCCACUUUCUGCUAAUCUGUCCCAUCUAAUAAGACUAAUAUGUCCAAAUAUAUCUAUAUUUUUUAACUUUCAAAAGGUUAAGUAAGCACACGUUACAGCUAUCCCAAAAAUGAGAGUCAAUGCAAUACUUUCCAAGCCCAAUAGUCCCGUUCUGUUCUUUUUUUCGGGGGAGAUUUUCUAGUUAUCUUUCUGACAGAAUCUGUUGCAGUUCAUCAAAAUUUUAAAUCUGUUCACAGCAGUAGUUAACAAUAAUGUUGAUGUUAAAAUCAGCUCCCUUCCUGCAGCAACAAGGGUCUAGUAGAAGAUUUAAUACAAACACAUUUCAUCCAAAAGAGAUCUAUGAAUUACUUAGAAUUUACUAAGACUGAAUGUGCUCACUCAAGUUGUCUGUGAUCCAUCUUAUCAGGAAAUAGCAGAGUCUUAGAUCUGUCAUCAUUCUUCAGUGAACAAAAUGACUGCAGGUAAAUCUGGUAUGCCUUUGCUAUUGCACUGACUCUUGCAGGUAACUUCGGGGUAAGGCUGGGCGAUAUGAGGAAAAGUUUAUCACAAUAUAUUUUUUUCAUAUACGUCAAUAUUGAUAUAUCAUGAUAUAAAAAAUGAAAUUUAACAGUGCUUAUUGGUAGCAUAUCUUUUUCAAUACAAUAAGCUACUGUAUCUGUGAGGUCUUUGUGUCUCUUCGACGUUUUGUUGUAAGGCGUUGCACUAGAGAAAGUGGACUGAAUGGUCAGCUGUUUCGGCUGCAUAGGCGCCAUGGGCUCCUUGCUCCGCUCAGGGUUUGUUACUUUUUGCAUUGCGGCUGCUACGCCGCGUGGCACUGCUUCAGGUGGUGAAAAAGAUUUCAGGUAUUCCCCAACUUUACGAGAAAAUGUACUCGACAUAAUUUGCAGUUCACAUCACUCUGCUUCAUGUGCGACUUCAAAAAUCCAAAAAACCUCCACACCACCGACAUUUUCAUGCCAGUGUUGUGGACGAUGUCGUCAUCUGUUGAGGCUUCAUCUGCAUGUCUGCGGGGGUAGCACUCAUUUUAUUUUUUUCUCACUGGCAGUGCUGUCAGCUUCACCUGUUAAAGUGCUACGGUUGCGUGUAGCUGCUGCCUGCUACUACACUUUGUUUGCUACUUGGUUCCAAUUCAGCACAUUAUUGGUUCAGCACAAAGCCGACCCAGAGCAACUCCCCUUUUCAUUGGCUACUCAUAUAGUCUACCAAAACAUGGCAGAAUGCUGAUUAUUGAAAAGCUUAUUGACCAUGUUUUACAUCGAUAUUGAGGGAAAUUAAUUUUUGAUAUAUAUCAUUAUCGUUUUAUCGCCCAGCCCUACCUCGGGGAUGAGUAUUUAUGUAUUUGAGAAUAUUUUUCAAAAAUGGCUUUUAUAGCUCAGCUACAGAAACACCAGUAAAAGCAGUUCUGCAGUUGAAGUCGUGAGCUGCCAGACCAAUACUGCUGCCAGUGGACACAGGCCCUAAAACCUGAUUCUGAUGUGUUUUACAACUCAGAUCUCAAUAACCUUUGAGUUUUUUCAUGGGUGGCAGAUGUGUCCCCCUGUUGUCAUAGUAACAUUAAGUCCCAGUGUUAAGGAGUUAUGAUUGGACUGUGCUCCUCACAGUCUGAAGUGUGCCCUCCCUCCUGUAGCGACAUGGCUGGCGAAGUCGCAGAGAAGCAGCUGUAAGUCACACCGAGGUAUCGUCAGGUUUUAACACACAGACGGACAGUCACAUAUCGCUGCCAGCUCCAGAUGCAUUGUGGGUACCAGGGGGCCAAUUCAGUUCAAGUGCCUCAGUGUCACAAUCUCUCUCUCUUUCUAACACACACACACAGACACACAAACUUGACAUGAUUAAUCAUGCUGAGUUACAACCCAAUUUACAGAGGAGGGUCUCACUGAUGACCUGGCAACCCAGCGGCUUCUUUAUUUACUAUCUGGCAACCCAACGUCACAUUUCCUCUUACAGUAAAAUAAUAAUUCCUGUGAGGUUCGCUGCAUGUCAGGACAACCCCUCCACUGAAACAAGAAGCUAAUUACCACCAACGAGCCAGUUUACCCAUCAUGCUUUGCUUCCGAUUUGUGUGAGACAAACUGGAGUCUCAUCACGACAAGCAGUGCGUUGUCAUUAGAUUCAAUGGCUGCGUUAUCACAGCAGUGUGUGCAGGGGUGCAAGUGUGCACGUGUGCGUGUGUGUGUGCGCCAGAUGGUGAUGCAUCAGCCGUGCAGUCAUUAGAGGAAAUUAGAAUAAUGAACAAACUGUCUGUUUGUCUCCUUUAGGUUUCUACAAACAGUCACCCGCCCCGUAAAUGCACGUCAUAAAGUGUGUCAACGAAGCGUGAAAAUACCUGUGACUGUGAAGUUUAUCAAUGAGAGUUUCAGGAGGAGAAGAAGCUGCAAACUGAUGACAGGAGACAGGAGGUUCGAUGGCCUGCAGUGGUCCUUAUGUGUAUGAAAACAGGAAGAUGCUAAAAUUAAAGAGACUUUGUUAAAUAGACCUGAAAACGAGAGGGAAAGUAGAAAAAAACUCCAAAAGUGUCCUCUCUGUUAUGCAGUGCAAAUAGUCAUUUAACAUAUUUAGUGUAAAGAUACAAAAGAAGGACAUAUUUUAAUUUGGAGGACCUGCAGUACCCAAAUGACCCACCAGGCAACUAUGGGAUUUUAACUACAGUAUAGACGGGUUUCUGUGCAAGGUCUUCACAGGUAUGUGCACGCAGCCAGGGGGCAGAAAGCGGGACAUUUCUUAUUUGUUUACUAGUGGAGUCAACGGAGAAAGAAAAUGCACGAAUCGGCAAAACAAACAAUCGGCAAACAUUACGACCCUGCUCCUGACAUUAGAAACAUCUAAAACAACGUCACAACCUGGUAAGUUGAGUGAAUUUCAUGGACACUUCAGCAAGUGUUUUUCUGAUUUUGAUGCAAUGAAAGACAAAGUGUUUUUUUUUUUUUUUUUUUUUUAUGAAAUGACAUUUAAUUGCAGUUGUGUCAUGGAGAACUUGCAAACAAUACAGCAUCUUCAUUGAUAUCAGUUCACUCCGAAGCAGGCUUUUGCCCCCCAUGGUUGCGCGCACCUAGUAUUGUUUGUACACAAGAAACCCGUCUAUAUGUUUAAUUAAAACCUUUUAAAAUACUUUCCUUCAGUUCAACGGUUAAACAAAUUCUGCACAGCUGCUCCUCUGUGAGAGCAGGAAAGAUCCAGAAAACUUUACAGAGUUAAUAUAAAUACAACCUUCUUCUUUGCAUUGUUCAGUUUGAACCUGCUUCUCUGGACACAGCUGCAAACGGUGUUAUUUUGAGCUCAUGCAGCAAGUUCCACUACAGAGUCAUGCCUGCUUUCAAUGCAGUGCUGCCUGAGGACCAAUCAGAGCCAUCCAGUGUUGUUUUCGGUCCUUGUCCCUUUUGUAAAGAAAUGUCUCCAGAUUCUUUCACAGUUUUUUAAUGAUAUCAUGUACUUGAGAUGAUGAAAUCAACCAAUUCUUUAACAUUUGACACUCAGGUGCUCAACUGCUGAAAUUUUAGCUCACACAGUCUCUCACAGAGUGGUGAACCUCUUCCCACUCCUCCUGCUAAGAGAUUCAGCCUCCCUGACUGUCCUUUUUAUACCCAGUCAUGUUACUAACCUGUUUUAAAUUUACAUCAUUAGUUGGAGAUGUUCCUUCGUUUUUUGUUUUUUUAAUGUUGCACAACUGUUUGGGAGUUUUGUUGUCCCUGUAACAACACUGCAAAAAACAAAAAAACUUAACAAAUGUCUUGGUCUUACUUACGGCAAAAUGUCUUAUUAGACUUAACAUGAGCCACAUUCACCUGACAGACCUACAUUAAUGUCCUGUAUCAAAAUAUUAAAAGACAGAAGUAAGUGAUACGCUUAAAAAACAAGAAAAAUAUACUAGUUGAGUUUUUUGGAUGCAGACCUUUUUUGUUUUCAGGAAACUUUACUUGAGUUGAAUGAAACUUGACAGGCAAAUUAUUCUUUUUUCAUGGAUGGAUUGUAUUUGUUAUUGCAACCUGCUAUGGUCUUCAUUUGGAGGAGUGAUAUCUUGAAAUAGGAUUUUUAUCUGGCCUCCUCAGGUUCAUAUGCCUUUUCAAUCAGACAUUUUAAGUACAAAUAAAAUAACAAAAUUGCUUCAUUUUCAUUUUUUCAAUGAUCUCUUGAAACAUGUUAAAACAAUAUUUAUCUAUUGUUUCAACAUUUGAUUUGCUGUUUUUGCACUAUUUAAAUUGAAUUAAGCGUUUCAAGGAUUUGCAAAAAGUCAAAUUCUGCUUUUAAUCCACAUUUUGCACAUGGUCCUUAUGGUCUUAAGUUACAGCUGUUCAACGUGCGCUUGUUUGUUUACUGGAUCGUUUUGGGAAAUCACUUUCCUUAUAAACCAGACUAGACGAGUUAAAUGAUAAGCUGAUUAAAAAUGCAAAAAGUAUGAAUCCAUGCUUAAAGAAUCUUUAGAAAACAUGCUUUAAAUAUUAACUUUAAAAGCGUUUUAAUCCACUUACUGCACCACUUAAAAGAUAUAUAAUUAAUGCAUGUGUGCAAAAAGCUGCAGAACAUCACUGAUGUUUUUGUAGCUUAUUGAACUGAUAAAGAAAUGUUGGUGAAUAAGCUCCUGUUGAAAAUCUUCUGCUCUUUUUUUCCAGGCAAAAAUAAAAGCUAAAAUAAAAAAACAGUCAAAGUGGUGCAGUAUAUUCUGUCAGACCACUGCAGGGUAAAAGCUCAGUUUUUUCUCCUCGAGGACGGUGUUUACCGGACACUUCACUUCCCGGAACCUCUCUCUUCCCCGUCUCCUGAGGUUUUCCUGUAAUUCUUUGCGGCUGGAAAACAUCCAACCCUGCAAAUAUUUUAUCACAUUAAUCUAAUUUUGAUCCUGUCAGGGCUGCUGCUGUUUUUUUUACUCUUGCACCAUUUAGAGUCCCAGUAUAGGUCAGGUUUUACUGGGAGCCGACACAAACAGGCUCAUUCAUCUUCCCCCUCGCCUCAUCUGCAUGAAUUUAAAUAUGGAGGGUAAACAGUGAAGUGUUACUUUGUUAGCUCAGCAUCCAGCUCCAGGAUUGGAUGCUGUUGUCUGUAAUGUAGAAAAGAAAUGCUCAAUUACUCCUGUUCUGUGUGUGUGUGUGUGUGCAUGUGUGUGUGUGUGUGUGUGUGUGUGUGUGUGUGUGUGUGUGUGUGUGCGUGUGUUUGUGUGCGUGUGUGUUCAUGUGUGUGUAAGUGCUAUGCUAAUAAUUCCAUGGAGGGUCGAGGCAAUCAAAAAGCUCUCACUUUUAAUCAGCCUCACACCGAGCGGCACACACACACACCAACUGUUGAAAACCAGUUUGACUGCUGCGGUAGGCUGCAAACACCUGACACUUUAGGAAAAUAAACGGCUGCAUGUGAGUGUGUAAAACAGUGUGACAGACUCACAUGUUCACCAUGCCUUUUUAAACACACACACACACACAUAUAUGAGCAUGCACACACACACACUGCUGCUGUGUAUAAAUGGGAAAAUAAACAACAGGACAGGCAGAUACAGCUAUCAAAGAGAGGAGAGGAGCAAUCUGUUUUAGGUUUGUCACACACACACACACACACUGUGCAAACACUCUGCUGCUCUGCGUUUGUCUCUUUUCAGGUCUGUGAUGUGAUGUGAGAUUGCCGCCUUCAGCUCUAAACACGGAGGAGAAGAAAAAAAAACUGGAAAAAAAAGAAGGAAACAAACAGCUUGUUUGAAGGUAAAUUCAUGAAUGUUUAAGCCUGGUGUUGUUUUCUCUGUAUGUUUGUUUGAGUUUAGACGGCGGAAAAGCUCCAACCUGCAGCUUCAAAACAGGUGGUAACGGCUACAGGAUAUAAUCCUCUGAGGGGAAUCUUUCUGAUCACAGUUCAGCAGAUAAUUGUGGUUUUUUUUUUCUCCACCAGCAGCCUCACACUGGUGCUUAAAGUCUCUUAAACAAAGUGCAAGAAUCGGUGCAGGAAUGAUUAUUUUUGUUACUAAGUUUUAAACCAGUGAGUGACUCACUUGAAAGUCAACAAACUAGAUUGUCAAUCCAGGCGAAGACAUAUCAAACGGUUUAGUAUUAAUCCCUUUAGUAGACUACUACUAUAAGUCGUGCUCUCUCCUAUUAAAGGGAUAUUCUGGUGUAAAAUUAAUUAAGGGUCAAACACACUGUAUCACCAAGUUGGGCACCCUGUCGAGUGAUGAAUGUUGCCGACCGCUUGCUUCUCUAGUUAUACCAACUUUAGUAACGACCGCAGAUAGCAAUACAGAGAGCCAAGCGCUCAACCAAAAAGCCUCUCUGUAGCCACAAGUAAUGCUCAGAACAGCACCUAACUUCAUCAACAGUACAUAUAGGUAGUUCUUCUGCCUUAGCGUCUCGGUCUGACUUCAUUUCCACGAAAAAAUGAUCAUAAAUGUUCUUCCUUGAGCUGCUUCACCCCGCAGCAGUCUGUAAUGGACUGGCCUGAGGUCUCGCUACAAGAAGCGGCUGCUGGAAGAGAGUAGGUGAGUUGUGUUUAGUCUCUUUGCUAAAGAAAUCAGGCAAAGUUAAAAAGAUGUUUGGUGGCUAGUGCUACGGCUGGGACCCUAUAUGUACUGUUGAUGAAGUUAGGUGCUGUUCUGAGCAUUAUUUGUGGCUAUAGAGUGGCUUUUUGGUUGCGUACGUGGCUCACUGUAUUGCUAUCGUGCUGUCGUUUCUAAAGUUCUUAUAACUGGAGAAGCAAGCGGUCUGCACCAUUCAUCUAACAGGGUGUCUAACUCGGUGUCAUGGUGUGUUUGACCAUAACUUAAUUUUAUGCCGGAAUAUCUCUUUCAGGAAUAUUCUUCAAGUGAGGCUGUAUGAGUAGCAUGUCACUUGUAAGUGAUUAAGCCAUCAUAGAUGUUGAUCAGCUUGGUCUCCUUACUGCUGAGAGAACCAGUAUGCAGGCUUGAGCUACAGUUUUCUGCAGAUGAGGUCGUCUCUGCAACCGAAUUUAGCCAAUUAUGAGAGACUCAAACCCGAACACUCAUCUUUGUUUUAGCGUACACUCUACCCAGAAGUUUUUCAGCACUUUGUCAUUAGAGAGCCCAUUUGGAUUUCACAGAUGCAACACACAUAUGUGGUCUUCCGCAUGCAGCAGGAUCAGCUAAUUGGGUCUCUGAUGGACAAGUCACUGAUUAGUUGUGAAUUUUGGUAUUUUUGCAUCUCAGUUCUGCUGGAAUUCUGUUAUGUGUUAGCUGUUUUUGAUGCCUAGAGGUGCAAACUUUCGAUACCUGGUCUGAGAACAAUGAAUCCACAGCCCCGUUCCCACAUAGGCAUUAGAUUACCAAACCUACCUCUCUGUUGAAAGCACCUCAUGCACAGAUGCUUGAUGUUCUUCAGAACAAAGUCAUACCACCUGGCAUGCAUAUUCCUGCAUAUGCAGCCUUUUUUGUGGAUUCGUCGCAUGCCAAUCAUAAUCACAGUGCUGUCAUAUGAGCUCAGGUUUUUCAUGAAGACACUCUUAUCUGAAGAAAGCCUCAGUGUUUGUAUUUGAAAUGCCAGGAAAUUAGUUCCGUUGGAGAAGCCAUACUUGCAAUUACGGCAUUCGCAAUUAAUAUUCCCAGUUAUGUGUCAUAUUUGUUUUUAUUCUGCACCAAGUUGUUCUGAUCUGUGUGUUUCCUGCACUUUUUCCAGGGACACAUUUUCGCUGAUGUUGGUUGACAAGGGUAAGCGAUCUGCAACGGCCCUGAUGAUCCUCAUUAGGAUGAAAGCGACUGCAAGUGCAGGGACUGGAGAUCAAAGCCACCAGUGUGCAAACUUUGUUAUGGACAUGCAGCCGUCCACAAUCAAUGCAGCUCUAGAAAUGUUCUGCAAAUGUGUAAAUAUGCUAUCAAAAGCCAAACCAAGUUGAAAAGCUGCAAUUACACAAAUGAAACAAGAAAAAUUGGACAAAAGCAGGAAGCAGCUGCAGAUAUUUAUGUCAUUGUUUCAGAUUUUUGUUGCACAUUUAUCAUUUGCAUUUGUUUUAGACUUUUAAAAGUGUUUUGAAGUUGUUGUUGUUUCUACAUUUGCAGUGUAUUUCUCCCAAAGAAGAUUGUUCGGGCCAUUACAGAUCAUCUGCCCUUGUCAGCCACGGUAGAUUUCCCCUCAAGAGCGAUGAAGUACAUUCAUAAAACCAUGGCAGACAGUCUUUUCUGCUACUGGCAACUGCUGUUUUUUUCAGAGAUGCAUAUCUUCGACGGCAGUAGUCAGGGUUUAAGGUUACAUGACUCAUCCUUUGUGUCUACAGGAAAGUAGUGGCAUAAAAGUAAUGUUCAUAAACCUGCCAGAUUGGCUAGUGCAGAAAAACACUUGAUUUCAGACUAUGGCGUCGACACAUUGGUUUCUUUUUUUUUUUAAUUGUCUGUUAUAUUUGUUGCAAUAACAGUUGAACCCAAGAAUAAGAAAAAAACUAGGUUGUUGAGGCUGGGAUAGCUCAGAUAUUCCUGUUUUGCAAGGUAAAAUCUCUGCCAGGAGAGUUAAGUGCUUUGAAGAGCCGACGAUCAUGGCUUCUAGCAGUGAAAAUGAUCUCAUCACAGCCCACUAAAGCCAACAUUCACCCUAUGUAUUGUGCAGGUGCUAAUCUAAUUCUCUGCAGGGGUAGACGAGUAAAUCCUGCAGUUAAACACCUGUUAUUUUGACUAGAAUCUGUGAGCUUUUAAGGGGGUCAAAUAAGGCUGUUCUUUGUUUCAUAAAGCACAUUAUUCAGUCUACAAUCAAAACCUUCAAUGGAAAGAGUUUAAAUUGAUACAUUAGACACAUUAGGAUUAUGUUACAUGCAUUCUCAGCUCCUGCUUGAAACAAUGUACUGGUGCUUUUCCAAAACUUUGUGUCUUUUUUGUCUUUUUCACCUAGAAGAGAACAGGAAUGGAUUCUGGAAACUCCCUCUAAAUUGCUGUACCUUCUCUGUGGAUUAAUACCUGCCUUUUUUUUCCAGCAUCUGCAGAUAUCAGCCUCUGUUCCCCCGUCCUGUUGAAAGCCAGAGUGACAUCAAGUAGACGCCAUCGAUCC